ACAUAUGUACUACCAUCACGUACUGGAAGAGAACAUGAGCAAUAGAUUCCUCCUCACCACAAAGACAGACUGGUGGGAUGUUUAGCCCUCAUUUGCUUAGAAUAUCCCUAGUUGGAAGAUGACCCAGGGCCACCUUUCAAAUAAAAAGGGCGACUCUUGGGUGGACAUCAAAUCUCUAGAUCCAAGCAUAAUCAUGUCUCUGUGCAAGCUCUCUUCUAAAGAGAUCAUAAAGGUUCUUGGCCCUCAUUCUCAGGCUGCAAGUAGAUCUCCAAACCUUUACAUUAAGAGCAGCAUGCAUAGGCAUUGCAAGAGAUAGCAUUCUUUCGACCAAUUGCUCCCCAAACAAGAGGACAACUAGAUUAGAAUUCCACCUCCUCUCCCCAGGCAGAAAUAAAUCAUAGAUCUACAUACUAGCCACGGUCUCCAUGUUGACUAUGAUUGGUCAUUACCUUAAUGAGAGAUCAGACGAUUAAGUAUCCCUCAUCACAUCCCUAGUCUAACCAUCCCCAAUCGACCAUCUUGUAUUAGCCAUCACCCUUGGAACAUAGGUGCUGAUCUAUCUCCAGAUGAGCAAGCUACUUAGACUAGCCUGAAUGUUUGCAACUGAGAUCCAUGGGCCAUACUUAGCCUUCAUCAUCGAGCUCCAAAGACUCUUCUUCUUGAGCAGGUACCUCGUAGCAUGCCGACUAUCAUGGCUUCUCUCCUAACUAGCAAGAACGGAAUGCCUAAACUACCAUCCUGUAAUGGCUGGCAAAUCACUCUCCAAGCUACUAGUGCACCCUACUCCCAUGACCAUGCGAACCCCACAAAAAAUUCAGAAACUUUUGCUUGAGCUUCAUAAGAGAGGUUCUCAACAGAAUAGUAUUGGACAUGGGAUAGAUCAACAUAGAGCUAAGAAUUGAUCUUACCAGAGUCAAACUUGCCUAUGAUGGACAAUGAUCUAGAUUGCCAGCCCUCUAACUGCUCUUAGAUAUUCUGCUCCAUAAUAACACACUCGAUCCUCUAAAGUCUCCGCCCAAUGAUGGACACAUCCAGUGAUCCAGAUAACACCAUAUCCCCUCUUGUUCCUUAAUUCCUAGGCACUCUCUAACUUCAUGCUUCAAUUGUCGCUUUAUCUCAAGCUCAAGUAGAAAAUUUCACCUUCUAACCCAAAGCAAUAUAGCAGUCCUCCAUAGUUUUUCUGAAACUUAUGCAAAAUUUUUAAUUUUUAUAAAAAUUAUAAAUUAUAAUGGUCCAAUUAUGUUCAAAAAUCGACUAUUUUGCCCCAAAAAAUCAUUUUUUGUUAAAAUAUUUAUUUUUCUUUGGAAAUUUAAGAUAGGGAAAUAAAAUGGGUCAAGUUCAAAAUUAACUACUUUUGCCCCAAAAUUAAUUUCCUUCUGCACCUUUACAAAAAAUUUCCUUAAAUUAUCAUCAUCAUCAUCAUUUUGUUUCAAGAAACAUGACAAAAAAUAGUUAAAAUGCCAAGACCUCUUAUUUGCCUCUCGUUUGACAACCGCCACAAAACCAACCCCUGAAACCCGGUGGUUGCUUACCCCUUCUCACUCUCCCCCUCUCUUCUCCUCCUACGCAUUAAUUUCUCCCCUUUUUCCUCCUAACUUCUUCUUGUUGCGGAUUGUGUUUCUAGAUUUUCUUGCUCCGAAAAUAAAAUAUGUAAUGAUAUAGACCUGGAAGCAAUACCAGGGUCGUCUUCUUCGUCGUCGUGGUCGUAGUCGUGUGUCGUCCUUGGACUUAGAUGCGGAGAUUCCUGGAAUUCUUAGGCUUUCUUCGUCGUUAAUCUGAUUAGAGUUCCAGAUUCCUCGUUUUCCCUGCAAUUUUUUUCUAUUUUGAGUAAGAAUUCGGGAAAGUUUGGGCAGAAAAGAACAUGGGCUACUUGAACUCUGUUCUUCCGAGUACCAGCGGAGCUCAGGCUGAUGGCUUUAUUGUUAGCGGUGGAGGCCUCAGGUUUUCUUCUUUUUCCUCCUCCUGUUCAUCUUUUUCUUCUUUUUUUUUCGAAAAAAAAGAAUCAUUUAUAGUCUUGCUUUUAUGCGAUCUACUCGUUGUUAUAUCUUAUCCUCUUCUCUUGUUUAAUUCUGCAAAAUUUGAGGAUAGCUAUUUCUCGUUCUACAUUUUCUUGUAGCAAUAAAAUUAUGGGUAAAUUUUUGUACAAUUAUUCAGUUCUUUUUCGGAGUUUUUUUGGGAGAACAUUUAAAGAAGAAUUCAGGUAUUCCUCCGCCCAUGCCUCAUAGGGCCAUAUUUUCUCAGUGAAUUCUCGUCUCUUUCCAUGGAAGUUCAUUCUCCAAAAAGAUCAUCCUCACUUCCAAAUCUUGUCUGGGAAUUAUGUAUUAAUGCAUAACUGUGAAAUUGAUAACUGUUGGAAUGAACUUCUCCGAAUAUGCUACAAACAUAGUGUACGGUCCUUCCCUUAAAUUCAUUUGCAAAUAGGUGAAUGAUAAAUUAGAGAUGCGUGUUAUGUACAGCUUGUUGUUUAUUUUGGACUUUCUCUCCAUUAGAUUGUUAUAUGAUUGCUGGAUGGUUUGAAAUUGGGUCAGAUUGACGUUGAGAUGCAUGCUUAUCAAAUUCUCAUAUUUGUGGCUCUGUCAUUUGACGUUUGGUGUGUGAAUAAUCGCAGUCACAACGGGAAGUUCAGCUAUGGAUAUGCAAGCUCUCCAGGGAAAAGAUCGUCAAUGGAGGACUUUUAUGAAACCAGAAUUGAUGGUGUUGAUGGAGAGACUGUUGGUUUAUUCGGAGUUUUUGAUGGUAAUGAGUUGUUUUGCCUCACUAACAAGUUGAUCUGAGUUUCAGUCUGAUCCUUUUUUUUUAAAUCCUAUGAUCAUUGACCAAUUUUUCUUUUGGUUGACAUGAUGUGCGCUGCUCUCCCUAGUUCUUUAACAAAUAAAAUUCCAAGCAACAAAGUUUGUAAUUUUCUAUUUCUUGUUUAACUAUGCUUUCUCUGAAGGCUGUGAGCAUAGUUAUCCAGUGCUUAUCCUUUUUCCGUAACUUCACACAGUUAUGAUUGUAAUUUUAGGUCAUGGUGGAGCUCGAGCAGCUGAGUAUGUUAAACAGCACCUCUUCAGCAAUUUGAUCAAUCACCCCAAGUUCAUUAGUGAUACAAAGUCAGCAAUAGGUGCUCUUCCUUUCCACAUCUAAAAAAAAUAGAGUACUUUUGUGUAAGGAUUUCAACACCAUUCAUUGCAAGGUUCCUAGCAUUUGCAAUCAAAACAGACCAGAAAUUGAAUUCUAAGAUUAUUUGUCUAAAACAGUAAGAAAAUAGGAUGUAGAAUAUAGACUGUAACCGAUAUUACUGGUAAAGUCGUCAUUGUAAUUUUGCAUAUUACAUUCUGUUUUUAUAUGUUUGGAACAAUACAUAAUUAUUUUCUUAGAGAUUUUUUCUUUUGGUUGAAUUUUCCCAAAAUUCUUAUAAAAUAAAACUAUUAUAUGGAAGGCAUUCUUCUUUUGCUUUUUCCUCUGGAUGAAGUUACUGAUACCUUCCUAUUUUUGCAGCUGAUGCAUACAACCAUACAGACUCAGAGUUUUUGAAAUCUGAGAAAAAUCAGAAUCGUGAUGCUGGGUCAACUGCUUCAACUGCUAUUCUUGUUGGUGAUCGCUUGCUAGUUGCGAAUGUGGGUGACUCCAGGGCUGUUAUUUGUCGGGGAGGAAAUGGUGAGUACUGAUCGCUCCAAUUUCAGUCAUUUGAUAGGAUUCCAUAAUUAAUUUGCAUGAGAACAACCAAUAAAUUAUGUGAUACAAAUGUAGAAAUUGCCUGAAUCUUUUGACAAUGUGCUUUCUUAACCAUAUCUCUCUGUCUGCAAGCAGGUGCCUGCAUGCAUGAGUGUCUGUGUGCAUGUGCACACGCAUACCCAUGUGAAUAAGUGUGUGCACAUAUGCAUAUGCAAAGGUGCCUGCAUGUGCUUGCACAAGUAUCUAUAUCUAUCCAUGAAAGAGAGGUUGUUCCUGAUGCAUACCUUGGGGUGUGGGCCCAUAAUUUUGCUGUGGGCGAAUAUAUCUAAAACUUUGACUUUGUGGAUCCAAAUCUGCAGCUCUUCAUGCUUGUGUUUCCAAUAAAGAGUUUAUGAAUUAUGAAAAUGAAAACUGUGAUUGAUGAUGUGACAGUAUGUUUGCAACAUACAAGUAGUUGACUGUUGUUUACAAUUAAUUGAUGUCUCUGUUAUAUGAAUUAGUAAUGCUUAAAUGCAUACCAUGAGUUAUGUAGAACAUCAAGUGCAGGAAUCAAUAAGUAUGUAAUCAAUUUACCCUUUGUUCUUGCAUAUCUCUGUGAUGUGGACCUGUAGUUGCUGAGUUGGGAGAAGUAAUAGGACAUGUUUGAUGUUCUCAGAUGUAGUUCAUGACCUAGCUUUGCUGUUGAUGUUGACAGUAAAGUAUCUGGAAGUGUUUUAUAUAGUUCUAUUACCUAUUGCUUGGGGAAUUAUUUUAUUGUCAUAGGAUAAUGUGUCACAACAACUGAAAUGAAUAGUAUUGCCUCAGAUGAUCUUAUAUUUUGCUCUAGAAUAGGAAUAGUGAGCACCAACUGUUACAAGCUGAGCGUGUGCAUUGAAUGGAAAGUCUGGUGUUUAUAGUGUCGGAGAACGGUUUUUCUUAUGAGCCCUAUUCAAAGAUAGAGAAUAUUCUAAAUAUCUGUUACACCAAUUUUAGUAGAAAAUGUGUCAAUAUUCCGUUUUGUUGAUGGCAUGAGUGGAUAUUCAUUUAAUUAUGUGGCAUAUCAUGUUAUGUAUGCCCAAAGGAAGCAAAUUUCUCUUCGUGAAUCCUUCAAUUUUUCUUACCCUUGGAUGUCUUGCUGAAUUUGACAAGGGAUGUGUUCAACUAUUGGAAAUCUAUAUUGACGACACUGAAUCUGUCAUUCGCUCCCUCUCCUUGAAUUUUUCUUUUAUACGCACACAUAGAGGUGGACUAGAAUUCGGUUGACUGAAUUUCAAGUUAGAUCUCGUGAGUUCUAACCGGAUGAUUGGGGCUUAAUACUGGUAAUCUGUGCCAUUAGAUGUAUCUACGAUCUGUAAAUUACUUACGCACGAAAAAUCAUAUGAUUUGGCUAGGAGUCCCCAAAUCAUAUGAUUUUUUGUGUGUGAGUAGUAUAGAGGCAGUAGAUCACAUUUAACGGCUUGAAUUAUUGAUGUCAAACCUCCAUCGUCAGGUCAAGGAUUGAAUCUGACCUGAAAUCUGGUCAACCAGAUUCUACUCCAUAAUAUACACAGUCAAUGUAUGGCAUCCAAGCCAUUUACAAGAUAGAUGAGCAUCUAUGCGCAAAUGAGCAUCUAUUGUUGGCUGCCACGUGACUAAAUGUCAGCUAUUAUAGAGCAUGAGCUUCUUAUGCUUAACUAGUAAGUAUUUCAAUUAAUAUCCAUGUGCAUCUGAAGUUGUGACUGUCACAAAGAAUUACUUCUUGAAGCUGCUGAUUGGCUCUGAUGCCAUUGCUAUAUGAAUGUUUCUGUGUGAAGUGAUCCUGGUGUUGGUUUCAUGGGAAAGCAAUACAUAGAAGAAAAACAAAAUAACCAAUUUAGGAGUGCAUUUGUGCCCAUGGAAAGAAAGCUUCAUAUUGGAUGUCCUUUCUUUUUAUUUUGUAAUGAAAAUAACUGCUCCAUUAUAUAGUAGAUAGAUUUUUGUUGCACAACCUUAUGAUCAACUACUUCCAUCUUUCUAUAACAGGUAAUUCUCUAUUAUAUGAUUGCAUUUCUUUACCUAGAAAUGUCCUACCAAUUCAUUUGGUAAGACACGUAGAUGAUUUUAUGAGAUCCUCACAUACUUUUAAGUUGCUGGAUAUACAAUAACUUUAGAACAAGCAGAUAAUUAUUGUUCCCAUGGAUCAUUUCAUUAUGAGAGUUAAAAAAAUUUUAGAAGCUUGUACUUUUGCCGUCAGACCUUCCUCAGUGUGAUGAUGUAUUUGAUAUUUGCAGCUAUAGCCGUUUCACGGGAUCACAAACCUGACCAGACAGAUGAACGACAACGAAUUGAGGAUGCUGGGGGAUUUGUGAUGUGGGCUGGUAAUUUGCUGGCUUCUUUAAUGGGUACUUUUCCCAUGGAUUGAGCUGUUUUAUAUAUGACUAUUAAUAACAUGUAUCCACAGGAACAUGGCGGGUUGGUGGUGUUCUCGCUGUUUCACGUGCUUUUGGUGAUAGACUUUUAAAACAGUUUGUUGUUGCUGAUCCAGAAAUUCAGGUACUUUCAUGACACUGCAGUCAGUGAAGAGAUCUUCUGUUCCAGUUUGCUCAAGAGUUGGAUAGUUCUCUUCAAGAGCAAUCUCCAUGCAUAAUUUUUUUCAAGAUGAAUUUUACUCUUGAAGUGCAUUGGUGAAGUUGAUUUGCAUAGUCAGAGUUCUAAGAAGAGUCUCAAGUUUGAGUGCUCCAAUGUUGGCUGACACCCAAUUAUUGUGGAAAUGCAGGAAGAGGUGGUUGAUGGUUCUCUAGAAUUCCUCAUCCUUGCAAGUGAUGGACUAUGGGAUGUUGUCUCAAAUGAGGUAUUCAGAUAUAUUCUGAUCUGGGUUGAUGUUGCCCAUGAUUCUAUUGCUUUCUUAAAGCUGAAUAUCCCUUGAUGUUUCAUCAUUUAAGGAGGCUGUUGGGAUUAUUAAACCCAUUGAAGACCCGGAACAGGCAGCAAGGAUACUGAUGCAGGAAGCUUAUCAAAGAGGAAGUGCAGACAAUAUUACAUGCGUUGUAGUGCGAUUCCUAGCCAGCCAGAUUAACAAUACGCAGGAAGGAAAGCAAUAGAAAGGUCACUAUUGGCUUUCGUCUGUAGAUCCCUAAUGCCUGCAACUAAUGUGAGGUUGGAGUGGAGUUGCAUCACUGCUCAAACAACCUGCAGAGAAUCUAGUCUUAAGGUAGAAUUCGGCUUGAUGUCAAACUAUAGUAUCGUUUUCUCAGAAGUCUGUAUCUGUUUAUUCUAUGUCCUUAUCAUGUCUAACCUACUCAAUUGUGUGAAAAGCAUGAUUCUGUUGCACGAAUUUGUAAGACUAAGGUCAGCUAUUUAUUGUAGCUAAACAUUUGAUGUUUGCAUGCUUAUAUGCAGGGAAUUUGUCAGGUUAUUUUUAGAGUAACAAUCAUAAAUCACGACUAGUAAUAACUUCAUGCCGUGUGCCAAUGUUGAAUCAAUUCCCUGUUGAAAAUAACUGUCCAUGGCAAAGAUAAUUACAGUCCAUAGGCUUGCUUGUAUGACUAAACGUAUUCUUCCUUUUGCCUUUAUCCUGAUGCUGUCAGGUAAAUGCUAUGUCAGAAAGUGGGUGAAGUUCAAGGUGAACUCCUGUUAAUGGGUGAAGUUCCAGUUAAAGGGCACGGUACCCUAAUUUUUCCGACAGAUUGUUCGUCCUUUCUCAUGCUGUCAAAACCAGAAUAGAUGUUGGACCAAAUUAAGUCCAUUUUGAUCCGGCGGGGUUUAACUGGCAUGGCUAUGAUAUUGGUUGGGUGAUAUAUACCUAAUGAGUAUAUUGUCCAUGUAAAUCCAAAAGACUUUCAUGACAGAAAAAUUCUUAACUAACUCAGAAAGUGGUGUGUAUUGUCAUUGCUUCCUUUUGAAUUGGCAUCAUAAAGUGUGCUAUUAAAUGCAGCAAAGUGAUUGGUGCAAGGCACCUGAGUGACUUUUGGAGUGAUCUUUCCAAGUUACAAUAGCAUUGCUCGCUGUUAUUUGUUUGAUUAGAAUGUUAUUUUGCUACUCAUUUAAUUAGAAUAAUAUUUUCUAAAUCCAAAUCUCCAUGUCAGAUCAAGAAAGAUAUUUAAUUAUGUCGACAUGUUGCUGUUAUGUUAACUGUUAUUGUAUGUCAUUUUGUGUUGUAACAGCUACUGAUGGUACUUGGUAGUGAUAACUGAUAACAGCUAUUCCUUUUUUUUUCCUUCCAUAAACCAAGCAUAUGGCUGUUUUAUGAUAAUGUAUUUGGCUAAUCUCCUAAUAUCACUGUAAUACACUUUUGGUUUAUGUGUAUGUAUGUAUAUUAUCACGGCAGAAGAACAGCGGUGGAGUUGAAAGGGGAAUGUGGAGGGAUGGUAAAUGCUUUUCUGGAGGUUCGACUCUCAGAGUCUCACCUAUAUAUCAAGAAGAAAUAAAUAUCCAAAUUUUCUAGCUCCAGAAGGCUCCAAAAAAAUUGGAAACCCAGGCCGUAUCUUUUGUGGAAUUUAAUCAAAUUUUCUCUUUGCUAGAAAAAGUAAAAACUAAUACGAUCAUAUGCAGGGAGGAUUGAGAUGGCCAACAGAUCAGGAUAACCUAUCCUUCAUGGAGGAGAAAAUUCUGAAGGGACUUGCUGCUUGUCUCUCUACAUCUUUUCGAGUCAAUAUUUUUGGAGUUUGAUUUGCUACAUUAGUUUAAAUGAGCCUUCUUCCAUGGGAUUUGGCAGCUACAAAGAAUUGCAUAAGAGAUUAAAGGGUGCAAUUGUCAAAUAUUUUGUAUCCUUUUGGAAAUCUUUAACCUGGGAGAUAUGCUGAGAUGUAUGAACUCCUAGCCAAGUUUUACCCGUACCUUUUCAUCCAUGGAAAAGAAAAGAUUUAGAUUGGCUCUGAUCAGCUUAAUACACAUUAUGCUUUCUAAACCUUUAAGAUUACUGGCUGCAGCCAAAUCAAGAUGUGGCAAACCGCUUGGCUAUUUCGUCCAAAAUCUCCUGGGCUCUCGUGAUGUAUUUGACAUUCCACUACAUGACGUUGCAGAUGGGCAGAAGUUGGAGGAGCGGAAGGCCUAAGAGAUGCCAUAGGCAGAGGUCGAGGGAGGAGGAGAUGCAGCGAAAGAGGCUGAGAGGAAGCUGAAAACGGAGGAAAGCAACCACUGACGUAUCAAAAAUCUGAGUAUGUAAAUGGGGAUGGGGCACUGUGAAGGAUGCGAACCGGCAAUUGUUUGGGAGUCCGUGGAUCCUUCCAAGUUAGGGAAGAAGUGAAGGAUAAAUUUUACCAGAGAUGGGGUCACCUUUGGAAUUGUUGGGUCCAAGUCCAGACCUAGAACUGCACGAUUGAUAGUGAACUGCACUCUUCUAAUGUGUUUUGUCUCUCCAAGAAUAUUGUACCAAGAUGGUAGCACAGUUGGAAUGGAGCUUUGUUUCCACCGGAGUGGCCCAGAUUCGAAAUGUGCGGACGUUGAUUAAAUUUGGAGACCGGAUGCCCCACGCCUGGAUGCUUUCGGUGGAAGAUCGGGAAGGGUAUAAGGAAACUUGCGGCCUGCAUCAAACAUUCCCGAUGGAAGGAAAGCCUAGUGGGGGACUACUACGUGGGUGAGGUUUUCCUUCCACCCCACCCCCCCCCCCAUUUUCUUCCAAAAAAAAAAAGGGGGAAGCAAGUGUAAUAUGAAAAAACCGGGAGAUUAUGAAGUUUAUCUGGAAGCUUUAUUUUUAACAUACUAUAUUUUUUGCGAGAAAAUUAUGAUAAAGUAUCUUUAGCAAUACGAGUAGUAUAAUCAAUUCAAAGUUUACUAGAAAAAAUUAUUAUCCAGUUAUGGUCCGACCUGAUCUUCACUAUUUAUUCACAUGAAACAGCUAUUAUAGGUUGCACUAUUGUGUGAGCCCAAGUCUGUGGCCCUCCUUGAAGAAAUUCUAAGGAUCGGUUCCCAUUAUUUAAAAAUGAUAUGGUUCCUUCCAAGCCACUCAUGUUUAUCGGAAGGCAAACAGUGCAGCUGACUGGAUGGCCUCCGAUGUAUCCCCCCCCCCUAAAAAAAAAAAAAAGGCUGUGCAUUGCAGCAAUUAAAGAGCUGACACAUGACCCUCUAGUUGGUAACUUAAUAUUGCUCGAUGUAUCUGCACUACCGUCAGCAAUCUUCGUAACAUUGCACACUAGGAUACAUUUAACUAAGCUGAAACAGGCAUGCAUGCCAUCUAGACUGGUCUGAGGUCGGCAGUUGCGCAUCUAGGUCUUGUGCCAAGUCCCUUAAUCCCAUUAGGAUAGAACUGACUUAACGUUCAAAACUGAACUCAGAAUAUUGCCUUGAACUGCAACCUACUAAAAGGCUAUGAAAUUUCACUCUUUCUUAUCCAAACAAAACAACAAAAAGGAAAGGAAAAUAACCAAAGAAUGCUUCCUCUUUUUUAGCCAUGAUACUGAGUGUAAAGACAGAAAAAGGACAAAGGCAUCAUUACUAAACAUUGUUUCGCUAUUCUGGGGUUGUAGUGAAGACUGGUGCACUCCAAAAUUGUGAAGACCUCAUUGAAGAAAAUCGAUGAGGUUCUAUGGGUCGGCAUUUAUAAAGAUCUAACAGAAGUAUAUAUUAGAAGGCCAAAAUGAAGAAGAUCCUAAGCUGCAGUUUAAAUUUGAAGCACUAAGAUUAGGCCAAAAGCUCAUUCUUUAUUCAAAAUCCCAGCAAAUCACUAAUUAUGCAUCCUGAUCAUGUAACUGAUAGUGCAUUACAAUUUUUCUGCUUUUGUAUUGGGCAGCGAGAGUACAAUUUCACUAAAUUUGUAGCCCACAGAACUGAUCAUGUGCUCAUUGAUGCAGAUUAAAAGGUAUGCAAAGAGGAUAACAAGUUGGAUGCUUAGUUAAUGUUUUGUGGAUGAGAAGAACAUCUAACGCAAACAGAAUUUUUCUUAUUACUGCUGCUUCAAUUGUUUGUGAACAUACAAUAAAAAUAGAAUUUAAGAUACAGAUAAACCUUGCAAAUGAAACCUAAUACAUCACAGCAUGUACUGCAAGCAGAUGAAAUGGAACUCAUGUUAUUAAUCUGUUAUAUAAGCUUCUACUGAACAAACAAAUAAUUGUCAGCAUUCAUACAUUAAGUAUCAUCUCUGUCUACCAUAUUAACCCACAGUGCAGGCUAAUGCAGGAGAAAUGAAUAAUUUUCAGCAUUUAUACAUUAAGUAUCAUCUGUACAUCUCUGAGAAUCAUAUUAAUCCACAUAAGAAACCAAAUAUAGCACUUACUCGGAGAAAUGAAUAAUUUUCAGCAUUUAUACAUUAUCAUCUGUACAUCUCUGAGAAUCAUAUUGAUCCACCUAAGAAACCAAAUUUAGCACUUACUCUACAACAAGGUAACUGAGAAAUGACAACACAUUGCAGAAACCUCACUUUCAGUGUGUUAUGGACUGAUCAAAAAGAAAGAUUACACCCAACAAAGUAUACAACAUUCAUACAAAGUUGAAGCAAUAGUUUUUUCCAGAAACAUAUGCCCAAAGUGGACUGACCACAGAGAACAAAUAGAGCAUGCAUCAUAUAAUUUAAUAACACACCAUACCUCGUUAAUUUACUGCUUAGUUUUAAAGGUCACGUACCUUUACAUGCUCCAAGGUGCUGUAUGGGUUGCUGAAGCAAUGGUAGUUCAGUUGCCUGGUACUUGCACUUGGAAAAAAUGAUUCUCCUCAGCCUUCUUUCAUCAAUGAAAAGUAAAGCAUUGCAGAAAAUUUACAAAUUGCAUUUCAGAAGUUGCUCUAUUGUAACCUGGGUGCCACAUGUUCAAAAUAUGGAAAUAGCCUCUCCAUAUGUAGGGUAAAGCUGCGUAUAUCUGAUCCUUCCCAGACUCCACAACAGUAUGAGUCUCGUGCACCGAGACACCCUAGUAACACUGUAUUAAAGUGCAAUAGACUCCUUCAACAAGAAGCUUCUAUCACCAUUAGUAUUAUUUUCAUCAUUUUCCUGCUCUUUGAUAAUUCCUAGAGACUUCUUGCUCCAAACUCCACAUAUCUUAUAGUCCCAAACAAUCUCUGAUAUUGCAUCCUGAGGCGAUCUCAAUUCAUGCCGAUUCACCGACUUAUGCAGUUCGCAAAAGAAUUUUGGAUCUCGCAACCUAACAUAUUCACGCAAUAUCCACUCAUGGUCAGGUACCCAGUUCCUAGGGAAUGGAGUAUAAUCACAUGAUGGAAUCAAUGACAUGUAGUAUUAUUUUCAUCAUUUUCCUGCUCUUUGAUAAUUCCUAGAGACUUCUUGCUCCAAACUCCACAUAUCUUAUAGUCCCAAACAAUCUCUGAUAUUGCAUCCUGAGGCGAUCUCAAUUCAUGCCGAUUCACCGACUUAUGCAGUUCGCAAAAGAAUUUCGGAUCUCGCAGCCUAACAUAUUCAUGCAAUAUCCGCUCAUGGUCAGGUACCCAGUUCCUAGGGAAUGGGGUAUAAUCACAUGAUGGAAUCAAUGACAUGUGCGAAAACUGAACACCCUCGAUGGCAUCAACAAGCCCCAUCCUCAAAAGAUCAGAAUACUCUGGUGCAUCAUUCCUCGCACUCUCUCUCAACGGGUGGCUGAGGUCACGGGAGGCAAUCUUGUACACCUUGGCACGAGACUUCAGCCUAUACCUUGCAGCAUAGAGCUUAGCCAGAGAGCUCCUAAUCACAUAAGCACAAAAGCCGACUACUUUCUUCCGGUUAUCUGCAUAUCUAUACCAAUCUGCCAUGGUCUCAAGGAACUUGUUCAUCUGAGAAUUGGUAUGGGCCUGGCCGGCAUAAAGCAUCGGCGUGCAAGGCAGCGGCUCCGGGUCCUUAUCCCCCUUGACGAGCUCGAGAUGCCUGAACCGGCUGGUGCAACGCUGCAAGCUUGCAGUCACAGAAAGCAAUGUCCCGACACCUUUCUCGCUUACGAUCGUCCCUCCUGUUGCUGUGUAACGCAAUGUAGGGUGCAUCACCCGCCGGCAGAUCACGUGAUCCAAGAACUCGAUCCCUCUUGUUAUGUGCUCGAUCUCUAUGUUUGAAUUCUCCAACCUCAGUCCAUACUUGCUCUCACAGAACUCAAUCAAAUCCUUUCGUAACUCCACUGCAUCCUCCCUCGGUCCACGAAUUCCGAUCAAAAGGUGGGACCCAUAGCGAAUGCAAUCCAUCCUCCUCGUCUUCUCCCUCCCGCUCGUGGGAACGAAUUCAGGCCAGGCAGGGUUGUGGCAGUCGUCGGCGAUCGAAUCCGUCCAAAUGGAGUCGAGCUUCGAUGGCCGAAAGUACCUUGCUAUCCGAUCUUCCAUCCAAGUGUCCAAUUCGGUGAGGCAUACAUUGACGAGCAAAGGGCUGAGGAUCCCGCAGUGCCCGUAGUUGGGGACCCUGGCGGCUUCGUCGGGGGCGAAGCCAAAGAAAGCCCUCAGCCAGUAGGGAUCGGGCUUGGGCUCGUUCUCCUUCAAAACCUUCUUCUUCCUGCUCUUCCGCAGCAUCUUCCGCUUCAUCCUCUUCUUGGCCAAUCUGUCGACCGCCUCAUCGGCUGGCGACGACCCGACCCUGACGGGUUGCUUCAAGGCGGAUUUGAUCAAGCCCAGAAUUUUCCGAUCGGAGACGCCUUUCUUCAAGCAGGAGAUGAUGACGCCGGGGCUGAAGUUAUCGGAGACGGCGGAGAGAUCGGCCUUGAGGAACCAGAGGUAGCCAGCGAAGUUGGAGCGGAUGGUGCGGAGGACGGUGUGGGCGCUGCGGCCGGGGCGGAAGGCGUGGGACCUGGGGGAGAAGCGGGGCUCGAAGACGGGCUCGAGAAGGAGGAGGAGGAGCUCCUGGAGGACACGGUCCUGGAAGGGGGGAGGGGCGGAGGCGAGGAGGGCGAGGAACUUGCGGCGGGAGAUGGGGCGGGUGGAGGGGGGCUCGGCAGGGGAGCGGAGGAGGAGGUGGGUGGAGGCCCCCCAGGUGUAGUUCGGCGAUAGUGCGGCGCGCUGGAGGGCGAGGAGGGAGCGGAGGUGGGGGAGGUGGAUGGCGUUCUUGGGGGGGAAGGAGCCGGUGUGGUGGGCGCAGGCGCGCUGGUAGGCGAGCACCCAGAGGUCGAACUUCUUGAGGAAGCCGGUGAGGUUGGGAAAGGGGAGAUGGGGGUCUGGGCGAGAGAAGCAGCGGACCCACAGGUCGGAGCACACCUGGAUGGGGUCCUCCUUCAUCAGGUCGUAGGGGUUGGGAAGCUCCUCUGAAGGCCGUUGUUGGUGUUGCUGGUGACGAGAAACGACGGAGGAGGAGAGGGUGGUGAUCCGAAGGGAGAGGAGGAGGUAGUGGGGGAGUGGAAGGAGGGGCUUGAGGGAAAGCAUUCCUCCUCCUCUGCCCUCCUCCAAAGGCAGCUCCUUUGUUCGUUUUGGAGGGUCGAAGUUCGAUUCUCAGAGAUAUUUUAUCAUAUAUAUUUUAGGUAUUUUUCCCUCAUUCGUUUCAGAUGCUUCUCCUGCUUGACACAAUGCAUAGAAGGAAUCCCUUGCGCUUCGCGGCGGCCGCCUCUUCCUCCUUCUGAUUCGAACACACAGGAGGGCGCUUCCCCCGUCGGGAAGGAGCGGUAGAAUGGGGAGCGAACGGGCUGUUGGGUUAGCGUCACGGAGCGAUCGGCAAUAGAAGCCGACUUUUCUUUUUUUUCCCCCUAAAAACGAAUAUAUAAUCAGCAAAAACUAAGUCACACCGCGUCUUAGGCAAUUCCUCCUUCUCUAUCUAUAGAGUGUCUCCUAAGUGGCACGCGACAUAUACUGCCACCCAGUCCGCUGCCUCGUUGGCCUCUCGAUAUACAUGUUUAACCUGAAAGGUCACUACUACAUCACUCACCAUAUCCCAAAUAUCUUGAAGUAAAGGGUGUACCCUUCCCUUUGCGCUCGGGCCCUUUUAGACCCAACUGAUUACGGUGGUUAAGUCACCCUCCAAUAUGAUCGAGGUAUCCCGAAGCGCUCGCCUGGCAUGGCAUAAUCCGGUCCAGGCCACCUGCAGCUUUGCUCCUGGCACAGAGAUGUCAAAGAUUUGGCGGCCGCCAGUAGCGACCACCCUAGAACUCGGGCCUCUGAUGACGAAGCCUGCUCCUCCUCUCCUGCCGCCCUCCAAGACAGCGCCAUCAAAGUUGACUUUGAGGAAAUUCGGGAGUGGGGGCUCCCAGGUGAAAUACACCCUAUGGAGUGCUGCCUGAGCAAUAUGGGGGCCCUAGGUGUCUCGAGUUAUCAAAAGUCCACAAUGUAAGUCUGUUUGAAUAAUCUCAGCUGUCUGUGCUCUGACGCAGUCUACCAUGAACCUCAGGGACGCGCCAUGCUCUCCAAAAAUCCGAUCGUUCCUCACCAGCCAAAUCUAAUAGGCUAUGCAAGUCGCUCCUAUGGCCACCCGGCGUAUCUGAGGUAUACCAGUCCAAUGCCAGAUAGUCUGUAGAAAAGUGUCUCUCCCACUCCAAGUCUCCUGCAGUACUACAGCAAGUGUCUAGGCCCUCCUCGCCCACCCACACUAGAACAACGGAUGAUCCACUGUCUCAUCUACCCGGCACUCCAAGCACUAGGAGGAAAUGCUCAGUCCUCGUCUACUCAGCACCGCUCUCGUCGGCAAGCGCUCUCAGGCUAUCUUCCAUAGAAAUAAGGCAACCCUAGGGUGGAGUCCAAAUCUCCAAAUCCAGCCACAAUCCAGGCCCGACACGUGGUCCCACUGGAGGGUCCGGGAGACAUCCCCAACCCUAACAUUAGCUCUGCAUGACAUGCUCCAUACUCUGACAUCCGGGUCCACGGCUUGUGCGACCGGUAGCGAGCAGAUCCGAUCAGCUAAUUGCUCACAAAACAGCUGGCUGAGCCUGGCACCAUCCCAUUCCGCCUCCCCUGGGACAAGGAAGUCACACACCCGCAGUCCGCCCACCUCCGCAUUGAACGUAGUUGGCUAGAGUCGCAAAGGAAGUGUAUUCACCCAUGGAUCCUCCAUCACAUUGAUACUCCGUCCGUCGCCAAUCAGCCACCUCGUGUUCGCCUCUACUAGCGUUAAAUGCCUCUUGAUCUUCCGCCACAUGUAAAAACAUCUACAUCUCCGACUACCCAGGGUUGCCCCCUCAGUUCUCCCACAACCAUAUCUCGCUGCCAUGACCUCGCACCAGAAACCCUGUGGCUCUAGGAUGAACCUCACUGCAUGCCGAGCAAAAAGCACCUCGCGCCUCUCGAGAAGGGAUUGCACCCCCAAACUUUCCUCACUAAACGGCAGAUAGACUCGCUCCAAGCCACUAGAUGUACCCCAUGGCCCCCUCCCUAUGAGCCCCACAGAAAGCUUUAAAACAACUGCUCAAUCCCCCUCAGGACAAUCUUUGGGAGCACAAUAUUAGCCAUAAGAUAAACCGGCAUAGAACACAGCACAGACCUGACUAGCAUCACACGGCCCAUCAUGGAUAGAGAGGACACCCUCUAGCCCUCCAAUCUGCCUUGCACUCGCUGCACCAGGCUCAUGCACCCCGCUGCCCUCAGCCGUCUUCCAGUAAUCGAAACUCCCAAGUAACUCCACACACCCUCCUGCUCCUGCACCUCCAAUAUCGUCCUGAUCUCCUGCCGCAUCCUCCGCUCUAUGCUCAAACUAAAGUAGAUAGCAGAUUUUUGAAGAUUCACCCUCUAUCCGGAGGCCACACAGUAAGCUACCAACACCUGCUUAAGAGCUCGGGCGUCCCUCGCCCUCACCCUAACCAAUAGAAGGCAAUCAUCUGCAAAUAGAAGAUGGGAUAUAGGGUGAGAGCCAGGAGCUGGCACAUAGGCUGCUAGUUCUUGACUCCCGCAAGCUGCCCGCAAAGCACGGAAAAGCACGUCAAAACAGAUAAUGAAGAGGCAUGGGGGAAAAGAACAAUUCUUAUGAAGGCCCAUGAUGGACUGAAAGAACGGCGACAGUGUCCCAUUGAUCAGGAUGGAGAACCUCGGCCCCUGCACACAGCCCAGCACCCAGUCUAUCCAUGUCUCAUGAAAUCCAAAACUCUCCAAUGCAUACCUGACGAAGCUCCAUCGGAUCCUGUCAUAGGCUUGCUCCAUGUCCAGUUUGACUGCCAUCAAGCUCCGCCUCUUCGAAGCUCGUUGUAAGUCCCACAUCAUUUUCUGAGCCAGCAGGACAUUGUCGGAAAUGUUCCUGCCCCUUACGAAAGCCCUCUAUUCUUGACAAAUGAUACAUGGUAACAAAGGUUUCAUCCUCCCCACCAUAAUCCUCGCCACCACUUUAUACAAGGUGGUGCAUAAAUUAAUAGGCCUGAAAUGGCUUGGCUCUAAGGCGUCCUGGCGCUUCGGUAUCAGGAUGAUGUACGUAGCCUUCCAAUCAUCGGUCAUCUCUGUCCGAGUGAAGAACAACUGGAUGACCUCCACUACUGCUAUCCGGACAAUGCUCCAACACGCGAAAGAAGAAUUGAGGAAAACCAUCUGGUUUGGGGGCCUUGUCAUCAGCUAGGGCCCAUACCGUCUUCUGUACCUCCAUCUUCGAUACUAGCCGAAUCAGGGUUACAUUCUCUAUCUCUACAAUUCUGACCUCCGGCCUAGAAAGCUGGCCGACCUCCUUUGAUCCACUAUUCUCGGUUCGCCUAGAUCUGCAAAAAAUCAUAUAUUACCUUUCUCACUGCAUCUUCCUCCUUCACCCCUGACCCAUCCCCACUCUCAGCGAACGGAUCGUAUUGCUUGCGUCUCCACAUCCAUUGACCAUUGGUUAUUUACGUAAAUAUCCAGUUGCGCGGCUCCCUUUUACACCCCUCCGAUCGCUGUUUUCGAACGCCAUCCGCCCUUCGGCUUCCUUCGAUCCGUCCCCAAUCGCCGCCACCCUGUUUCUCUCUUUUUCUAACCAUUACAAAUAUUAAUAAAUAAUCUCCCAAUCUUCUUGGUUUCUCUUUGGGGGCUCAUCUGAUCUUAAGUCGAGUCGGGGAUCUGCGAGGAGCGGCCCCGGACUCGAUCGAUGGCGGCGGCGGGACGUCUCGGGACGGCGACGGUGGCUCUGCUCGCGGUGGCUGCCGCUCUCCUCGGCCUCUUGUCGGAGGGAUCCGCCGCCGCGACGAAGAAGGCCUUCGUCAAGAAAACCGUGGCCGCCCACGACAUCGUCAUCUUCUCCAAGUCCUACUGCCCGUACGCUCCCUUCCUCCCUCCCUCCCUUCAUAAAAGCAAACCAUAAGAACGAUCUUUGUCAAAAAAUUUGAGAAACUACGUGGGGAUUUUUUUUCCGAUCCAUGUUUAAAAUUCGAUUCUUGUUUAUUUAUCUCGAAGAAAAAUUCGAUCUUGUUUAGAGACGUGAGUAAAUUUUACUACGUCGAAUGCGCAAUAAGAAGUAGCCCGCUUCAGGCUGCGGACUUGUCUGUGUGCUUGGAUUCGUGUUGAUCGUCCUUUUAGUCUGGUUUCAAGGAAGUCCCUCAUCAUGUUAUCAUGUUAGUUGUUGCCGAUCAAGGCAGCCGAGUUGGCUGAGCGGCUGAUCGUCCGAAUAUCAGCUUAGACCAUAAAGGUCGGCUGAAGAUCGCCAUGCGUCUCGGAGGUGACGAUGUGGUGGCCGUUAUGCUUGGGUAGCGAUGGCAACAUUGGUCGCUCUUGAGGUGGUGUUGGGCUGAGAAGAUAAUCCUUGAACCUUCAUUCCGACGCCAAAUCUGAUCUGAAAUAGCAAAGACAGUGGAGGGUGUCCGGCAGCGAAUCCUCCAAUUUCUAAGUUAGACAGACUCUUAGGGAGCAGCGGAUGUGUUGUGAGAGUGGCAAAGUGGCAGCACGAGGGCGCAAAAAUGGUCGAGAGUACUUGCUUGGAGGCUCUCUCGAGAAUAGUUUACAUAGGUGGGGGUUGGCGCCCGUCGCCAAAGAGUUCGAGCAUGCGGCUCAACCAUUUUUGGUAAUCGAUCAUACAUCCCAAAAAUCAUGCAUGAGCGUUUCCUCCAUGCAUCACACAUCUCGCUUGUUCAUCAUGUGGUUAUGAAAACCAUUCGUGAUCAUAGCCGACAUGUUGCUAGCUGGAGGGAGAGUUUAAAAUUUAAUGGACUCUGUGCAUUUUUAAGGUCAGAGGCUUCAGGGCGAACUUUGAUUGGUCAGUCUGUCAUGUCGGUUAUGGUCGGUUCCGAGAUAUAUCAUUAGUAAUUUAUGGCGGUAUGCUCUUUUGGUUAUUACCUUUUUGGGAGUGUAUCUAGAGUUCUAGUGAUGAUUCCUGGUUACUUUCGUAAUAGAAUCUCUUAUAGUGUAUUUGUUGUCUUUCUGAUCGUAUAGAAGCUCUUAUAGUGUAUUUAUUGUCUUUCUGAUCGCAAUAAUCUGCUCCAGAUGAAUGCAUGUGCAUCCACAGGUGUGUUUUUAUGUUUUAUUUAUCUAUUUACCUAUUUACAUAUUUAGUUAUUUACUUAAGGAAAGCAACGGUGUGUGUAGAAAACUUUUGGGACAUGGAGGAUUGUGGAGAUGCCUUGAGUGCAGUAUCAGAGGCCAUGAAGUGCACCAUUAGAUACUUGAACAGUUUAUUGCUUAUCGAUUCAGUAUUUGGAAGAAUUAGUGGUAUGAGAGGUUCUAGCAGCUUUAUUGGUAAUUUAAAUAAUUGUAGUUGCUCUAACCUAUUACUGCUUUUUGGUUUACAAAAAUAAAAUUUGUGGAAGCCUUAGAAGUAGGAAGUACUAUGUACGAAUGAUUGUCUGAUGUCAUGAUGUCUAUAGGAGAUCACCAUGUGCAUUGUGAUUUGUCUCGAUUUGCAUCAUAUAUUUGUUUGCAGGUACAAUGCCUUACUAGUUUAGGUGUAUAGUUCAGGAAGUUAAAACGAUUUUAGAGAAAAUUGACACCAAGAAGAGCCAUACAUUUAUACUGAAGAAGCCAACUUUUGCAUUGCAUUUGAAGCUUUGCUUAGAGUUUAGUGAUUGCAGUGGUUAAAUAAGGUUCCAUAUGGAGUAAACUGGUAAAAGCAUCCAUUGAUGAUUUUAGGGAAAGAUGAAGUCUAGGAUUUGCACUGAGGCGGAAGUAGUUGAUAUUGACAUGAUUUUGGUAUGGUUUUUGAUGUUUUGGGCGAUGUGGAAGAUACAAGAGGCUGCGGGACUGAAUGCAUUCUCUUUUUGGUAGCUAUUAAAUUACAAUGUCAAAGCAAUGGGGCCCUAGGAAUACUAUGUAUUUGGGAUUUGACUAACACCAUACCUAGGGCUCUAUCUAUGUACAUUUUAGAGCUUGUGAUAGGAUGUUUUUAACCUUGCAUUGUACCUCUAGAAUUUUCUUAUCUCGUUAAAUUUGCGUAUUUUCAAAAAUUAUAUGAUUUAGAUAUUCCUAGCAUACGCAUUGCCUAUGCAUCCAAUGGUUAAAAAUAAACAGUUUAAAAAAACAUGAAACUAUGCAUAUUCUUCGACCACUGGAUGCAUAGGCUAGGAUCGGUGAAUCACAUUAUUUUUUGACUGCAAGCUAUUUAGAAUUGUAGAUCACAUCCAACAGCUCGAAUCUUUAGUGUCAGGCCCUCACCGGUCAGAUCCGACCUUAUUAAGAUUGUUGUAUGGGCCACAUAUUACCUCUACUAUAUAUAUAUAUAAAUAUGUAUAUGUAUCUAUGUAUGCACGUAUAGGUAGCAUAUUUUUUAUGAGGCUUCAAGACAGAUCACUCCCUCUGGUCAUGAGGUGUCUUGCAGAUGAUCAGCCAGCAAACAAAUUAUUAACAAGCUUCUAAGUAUGCAUGAUGGGGUAAUAUGGUUUAUCUGCAAUCAUGGUUCCAGUCAAACCUUAAAAUAGAUAUAAAAUGCUUAUUUAUGCAUGCUGUGUCAUGCAAGUUCUUCAUCUACUGAUAUUAGUUGUAGAUGCAUGAGAUAAGAGAUAACAAAAAUGCAGUUACAUUGUUUAUGGAAAUAAACCGUUAUUCAAUAGCCAAUCACCUCUGUUCCAUAUACAUGCACACAUAUAUGUGUGUGUAUGUAACGUGUAUAUAUAUAUGUGUGUGUGUGUGUGUGUGUGUGUGUGUUCCACCCCCGUGAAACUAUUUAACUAGUGAAAGUAUUUAAUUUUUACCAUUGGUUGAACAGGUACUGUAGAAGAGCAAAAUCUGUUUUCAAAGAAUUGGACAAAGUACCAUACGUCGUGGAGCUGGACCAGAGAGGUUUGUUGUACUUUCAUUUCUGAGAAUCUCUCCUGAGGUUUAGUUUUCUAUGGUUUUUCUCCAUUUACAAAUUAGGUUUCUAAGAACAUGAAUUAAGGAAAUUGUUUUCUAAAAAGAUAAGUGACAUUACCAACAGAUAUGCGCACAACUCAUGUUGAGCACAUAUAAUCUAGUUGGUCAUUUUAUAUCCUGUUUAAACUGCACAUAAAAUAAAAAAAUUAAAAAAAGUUUCUCGACAGUUGUAAUGAAUAGUGAUAAAAAAUGCUAGUAUGUUCUAUUACUUCUAUUACUUGUGAUUCCCACACUGUUGCAGUCUGAAUUAUGCACUUGUUACUGGAGAUGCUUAGCAGAAAUAACAGAACUAGUUGGUUAGUUUAGAAGUUGUGAUUGCACUAGUAUCACCUAUUCUUAGAUCUCAAUGAUGUAUUCUACUCCCUCUUAGCACAUAAUCCCUGUAACUUGGAACCAUUCUAAUUCCAGAAAUCUACCUUGUAGUAAUAAGAUUUGAGGAAACAGUGUUUUAGGCUUGCCUAUUCUAUUACUGUGCUGGGAGCCAGACCAUGAGUUUUAACUUACUGCACUGUGGUCUUUCAAGAUUAAAAAACAUACAUUUCAAAAGGAGAGGUCCUGAUCAAUACUUUAAUCAUUUAGCUCCUACAUAUUUCUAAUUGCUGCUUUUUUUGUCAAACAAAUGUCCAGAGGAUGGGCCGGAUAUUCAAGAUGCCUUGUCUAAGAUUGUUGGGAGGCGCACGGUCCCUCAAGUUUUUAUACAUGGAAAGCACAUUGGUGGCUCCGAUGGUAAACUAUCUGUUGCUUUCAUUGACAUCUACUCUAAAAAGUACAUCUGUAAGAUUCUCAUAUGUGUGGUGUUGAUUUGAUGUCAGAUACCGUUGAAGCAUAUGAAAGUGGCAGACUGGCUGAACUUCUGGGUAUCAACUCAAAAGAUGAUCUUUAAAUGGUGGUGCAUGACUAAUUCCCCAGGCACUGGGGAUAUGGAUGCAUUCUUUCUCAUUUAAGCUAGGUAUUUCUUGAUAAAGACGUGUGGUGCUCCACAGAUUUUAAGUUUGUUGGGCCUAGGAUGCUAUAAAGUUUGGAGGUCUAUUGAGUUAUUUGCUACAACUUAUAUUCUGUAGUCAUUUUGGUAAGAGACUAAGAACAGCAAUUUCUUGGUAAGAUCAUGCUUAUCUCCUAUCAUUAAGCUCGAGAAUGGAGUCUUCUAUCCUUUGGGACAUUAUAAGAUCGCAGAAUCUUUAGCUUUUUCUCAGUUUUUUCUUUUUUCUAGAAAAGGUUCUUCUUGGAAGGUAACUGGAUUUUAGAGUUUCAAACUAAGGAUGUUCAUCUAUGGAGCAGGCUUGGUCAACCAGCAUCCCCCAAUAGCCGUUGUCACCCAGCUACUGCAUACAGCCACAGAAAAGUGAACUUGACUGCUAUCCUGACAUGCUAGGCUGGUUUAAAUUUCAACACCUUCUAAUUUGACUGCUAUCGUUCAAAAUUGUUUCUCCAUGCCAGUCUACUUUUGCUUCAUACUUGCUCAUUGUUCCUGGUGAAUCACAUUGAUAGUUUGUUUUGCCUUUUUUUCUUUUUUUCUAGAAAACACGUCGAUGGUAAAUUUUAGGUCACAUUUGAAUGUGCUCUUUGUAUUCUCUCAUUGGGUUUUCCACUUUCAAAUUUAUAUUAGUAAAUCUUGUACAAAGAAAAUAUAUGCAAUAUGUAAAUUUUUAUAGUAUAAUCAUCAGUAUAGUUGCUUAUGCAUAAAACCGGCCAAACUAUUUCUCGGUCCGGCCAUAUUACUUGACACAUUAGUUACAACUCAAAAAUAAUCCUGUAGUUUGUAAUUCAAAUUUAGUACUGUUCGAACCAGAUCCAUCCAAAUGCUGGAAGAAAAAUGUGCCUAAACUCUAAGCUGCUUUUGAUUUAGAGUAUUAUGGCAGUGAAAUCAAAUCCUGCAAGACAGCAGCUCUAGGGUUUUGGUCAUCUUGGAAAUGGGUACUUACGUUUCUAAAGCAGGUGUAACCAGAGCAAGUUAUGUCUCCAUGGUAGUUGCUCCGAACUGCUUGAUUCUCCCUAUUGGAUAAGUUGAUGCGAAUUAUAUCUUUCAGUCUUUAAUGUGCCCAUGUUCAUUUGGCAUUAUCGGUUGGAGUGAUUUGUUUGUGGCCUAGGUCUAAAGCUCAAUAGUUUGGCCUCCUAGAUUUGAUAUGGCCACUGAACUGUUGGCUGUACUUUGGUCUCUGAAAUCCUGCCAACACAAAGCUGCUUGUCUUAAUACCAAUUUAGUUCAUGAGACACUCAUUAGGCUCAGUUUGGUGAGUGGAUAUGCAAGGCCUGGACAAGAGCCCGGUCAACGCUGGUUAGUGCAAGGAUUCCCGUUCCUUGAGUUCCUACUGGACUGAGAUUUUCACAUGGUACAUUCACCUCUGUACACACUAAAACCUACCAUCUAUCAUCAUUUCACCAGCCUAUGUUAAAAAAAACUGAGGACAUUUUUAUUUUUAUUCUUUUGUAAUCACAGUACUGCCGGAACUUGGGAGUAGCAUGAUGCAAAUCACUGCGAGGCCGCAACCUUUGUACUGAAAGGAAAAGCCUUACGUUUUGUCCUGCUACUUGAGUACACGAGAGGAUAGCUAAAACAGUCCCCAUUGAAGCGAGGUGGAGUUUCUGUUUUUAAUUUGCUGUGAGGCAGUGUCAGAGAAUUUGAACACCUAAUUAAUGAUGCAAAUGACACGAUGCAUGCAUUAUAAAUAACUCGGUCACGUCCGAUUGAAGCGACAGGGAUGCAAUUGGUGAAUCAGUAUGAGCCUAUGCGUGCCGGGUGUGGUAAACUAUAUGGGCUCGUUUCGUUCGCAGAAAGCAUUUUUCCUUCUAAAAUAUGAUUUUUAGAAAAUAAAUUUUUAAAAAAAGAUGUCUAGAAAAGUACUUUUGGCAUGUUUGGUUGACCAUGAAAAAGUGAUAAAUUUCCAAAGUGCUUAUGUUUGGUUGGCCAUCCACUUUUAUGGGAAAGUUAUGUAUAAUUUUUAUUAUGUCCUUAAUAAAAAAUAGGUAUUUAAUGACUCUUUAAUGCUUCUUUAAUGCUAAAGGAUUUUUUUGGUAAAAAGUAAAAAUGGAGUGAUUCCCGCCUCAUGGGAAAGUAAUGGGAAAGACUUUCCUAUGAAAUGUGGGAAUCAUAUUUCCAUGGGAAUACAACUUUUCCGUCUCUCUUCUUUGAAAACUCCAAUCAAACAAGAGGUAUUUCAUUACUUUUCCGUUGACCACACUUCCCCCCUUCUUUUCUCGCGAACCAAAUGAGCCCUAUAUAUACCCAUUUGAUUAAAAGGCUGAGAGGCUGUUUGAGUCGUCUCAUACCAGCUCAAUGGAGCUUAGUUGCAAAACGCAAUGUAAAAUAUUGGAUGAGCUCGUCAGCUAUACAGAAUUAAGACUAAAGAAGCGUGGAUUUCAAGUUUGCAUCAGGAUGAUCUAAAAGAAUCAGAGGUCGGUUGGAUUUAUUCCCUAAUUCGUCGACAAAAUCAUAAGUUAUUCAGAGGCGUCUUCAUCAUGCACAACCUUUGGUUUGGGGGGGAAGGAAACAAAAAGGAGAACCUCUUAGGAUUUUGUUUUUGUUUGGUGGGGGCAGGUGCCGACCAAGUCCUAUAUUGCAAUCCGAUUGUUUAGUGUCAAUUUUUAUAGAAUUACUGCCUUUAUGAUGAGGAAGGAGAGAGAUGCUAGUUUUCUUUACAAAUUACUGCAUCACUUUUUCUGCUUAAUAUCUAAAUUGUGGAUGUACAACUUUGUGCUUUUAAAGAUAAUAGAUUAGGCACCAUAUAAUAGCAUAACAUUUUCCAAUAUAAUUAAUUAUAUGCAUUCUUCUUCACAUGCCGGUUGCUCCUGACUUUUUUCUCUCUUGUGGUAUUUCAACAGAAGCUUGGUGCCACCUGAAAACUUAAUGAAGUAGAUACUGAAAUCCUUGGGCUUAAGAGCUUUGGUCUUUAUCAAUAGCAAUACUAAAAAUGAUGCAUUAUCUUGGAUACUUGAGAAGUGGAUAAGUUUGUAGCUGUGACUAGACCAGGAGUGUUCUGGUGUAGUGAGGUAACUUGAUAGUGGCUGAAUUUCUAAUUUCGGCGAAGGAUUUGGCUUCAUCUGAUCGAUUUAUGUGCAUCCAUGGAAUCAUGUCGGAUCGGAUAUUGAUGUUGCAUCAGCCAUUGCGUGCGGAUAUAUAUAUAUAUAUGAAGCACAUGAACUCUUUUAUCUCUUCAUGCAGCAUGUCUGAAUCUAUUUCACGACCGCUUCACAGGGAGCAAAACUGAUGUUGGCACCUGCAUCUCUCAUGUUGAUUUCAGAAGCUAAAGCAUCUCUUGAUCACAUUUGUUUUCUAUAAAAUGCACUCGCAAGUCGCAGCACAUCAAGGAGCCCAAGUACUGAUGGAGAAUCUGAUCGGUUUUGAAUAUAACAAAAAAAAAAGUUUUUUUUUUUGAACUAUUGCACAGGUCAUGUUGUGGAAGUAUUUUUGUGAAUUAUCAAUUGCUAGAUGACAAUAAAGUCUCUCUAACACACAAAAAAAAAAUUUAAGUUGAUGAGAUGUCGGGGUUGGUGUGUCAUAAAAUUAAAAAGGAAAAUAUAAAAAUACAAGUAGGCAUGAGGUUUAUAAGUUGCACUUUCUAAUGCUUUGGUAAUGGAAAUCCUACUGUGAUGGAAUAUUACGGGCAGCACAGAUCUUAGGAAGCUCUCUCUCAGAUGUGUCGAAAUGGCAGGAGGAGGAAAAGAACUCCUGAACGAAAUCAUUGUGAUCCAGGCCCUGAUACAUGUAUCUAAUGUCAUGAUCAUUCAUUCUACUCAAAGGGAUAGCAUGCAUGGCUUAUCCUUGAAGCAAGUAGAGGCCACACAAGGAUGAUCCCCCUGAAUUCUUCCUCUCCAAGAGUCAACAGGCUCGUUGACUAAGAUUUGGUGCUGAAAACCUUGGUCAACCUUCAACGGUCAGACCUGCAUCUGCUCUCAUUUUCCAAAACCUACUUCUCACAGCGUCUGUGCUCUCUCUCCCUCUCGCUUUCUCUCUUUCUCUCUUUCUCAUUCCACAUUCCACGCAGCAUUAACUGCUCAAAUUUUUUUCUCCCUCUGUAGCUCGUAACUCGUACAACCAUUAGAGCUGCAAAGAAGAGCUUAAGAGCAUGCGCUCAGGAGACAAUUAAUCUGGACUCUGGAGUAGGCCAUGGUUGAGGGAAAAAAAUAGGAGAAUACUCACCUCGGCAUGGGGGGCCUAUCAAUGGUGGAACGUCUAGUGACCACUGGGAAGUUGACACGUGUCGUCAUGCAUGAGUGUUCCUUGCUUGUGGGUUGGACUUGCAGUGGCGGGCCCAACGAGGAUGACCUUGUCAUGCUGGGCGGGGGCACGCGUCGGCCCGUGAUCCAGCCAUCAAGACCGGGUCCAGUUGUUGGUAAUCAUGAGAUCACAGGAAGAAGGGCGAGCUCUAAAUGCUACCAUUUUCUUCUUGGAAGAAGGUGGGCGGUUUGAAUGAGAAACUGGCAUCAACCGGAACUUGGAUUUUCUCCCAGCAUGCAAGCUGAAUUGAAUAUCUCGCGAACCUAUUUUUGCUUACGUUUUAUCAAAAACAAAAAAAUUAAGAUCUGUUUCGAUAUUUUCUUUUAUAAUAUUAGUCUGAAAAUUCUGUAAAGUAUAAUUUUAUCCCAAUUUAUGAGUCAAACAGAAUUUUCAAUCCAAUCCUGCGGGGCUAUCUAUGUAAUCCCCUAAUUUGACUUCAAAUCAAGCGGAACUUGGAUUAGUUUUGUAUGAAGUUGCUGUCGAUUCUUAAUUGUUCAAAUUAGAAACUUACAUGGACAUAAUUUUUUUUCCCAUCAAAACCUAUGUUUUUUCCCUCAGCUUGCAUAAAUUAGCUCGAAACCACGUUGAAUUCCCAUGUGUGCCCGGACCCCAGGCAAGAGGACCAGACCCAGUAGAUAAAAUGGAUAUAUGGAUGGAUGGAUUUAUUGGGUUCAAAUUUUUGAAACUUACAUAUCUCAUAGGAUCUUGAAUAUCUAAGAGAGAUUUAAUGAAGCAGGCGUUCUGAUGUGAUCGAAUUACGUUUUUGAUUUGCAUAUGAAUGCCACUUGAUUCAUUAAUUAGGAACAGACCCGAGUCGUGAAAUUAGAUUCUUGGGUGCGAGAAGCAGUCCGCUAGACUCAAUCAUUAAAAGGUUGGACGUUUGUCAUCGUUUCUUAUCAUCAAAAAUAAAAUAUAAAACAAAAUGAAAGCGUCGGGUGGGAAACGGCCUCCACCCUAUUUAUUCUCAGGGGGCACGGAUGGUAUGUGGUCAAGCUAUUCCUUGAAUGGAAGAUGCUAUCAUGUCAUUAUACGAUUUUCUUGCAGGAUGAUGGUCCCUAAGGAAACUGCCGGGAAGAAUUAUUCGCUGACUUGAAUGAGAUAUACACAUUUGUUUCCAUGCCUAACAAAUACUGCACAAAUAUGAGCUCCUCUCUCUCUCUCUCUCUCUCUCGCUGUGUGUGUNNNNNNNNNNNNNNNNNNNNCUCUCUCUCUCUCUCUCUCUCUCUCGCUGUGUGUGUGUAUUAAAGGCUCUCAAUGCAGCAGAUUCCAACGCACACUCUAACUCCCCAUAUUAAAUAUCUAGCAGAAACUCCCUCCCCUCCUCAUCACCAUUUCCUUGCUCCGAUAUAAAGUCUUCACAUUCGCAUUCAGCCUUCCAUCUCCAUUUUUACCAGCAAAAGUCCUCUUGGGCUUCACCUUUCCUUUGUCUCUCCCUCUUGCACGGAACCGAAUAGCCAGGCAUGGAAGAAGAUGAAUGCAACGUCAGCCUUGGGCUUGCAAUAGGUGGUGGCGGGUACUCCACCUCCAACCAGAGUCGCGACGGUGGCCGGAAGCCUCCCGUUCAAUUCCACAUCCUAUUUCCCCCCUCGACCGAAAGGAGAAGAGGAAGAAGAAGAGCCGACGAUAGAAGAACGACCUGCAAACAAAUCAGGAUCCAAGAACAUCGAUGAAGAGGAGGAUACCAGUACCAACGACGUGAGCGGUGGUGUCAGCUGCAACCAAGCUGGCAAGAGGAAGAAGCUCCGGCUCACCAAACAACAGCUAACGUUGCUUGAGAACAGCUUUCAAGAGCACAGCACCCUUAAUCCGGUAAUACGUCGAAUUUUAUGUUAUUUCGUGCGAAGUUUUCCACGCCCCAUAGCUUAUCUCUAUGCUAACCGGCAGAUCCCUUUGGCAGCCCCGGAAGCAGGAACUGGCUGACCAAUUAAACCUCCGGCCUCGGCAAGUUGAAGUCUGGUUCCAGAAUAGAAGAGCUAGGUACUAACUAAUACAUCCAUCCAUCUGCUGUUAGAUAUAAUUUUUAGCUCUUUAAUCUUGGAGGAUUGUUGUUCGCAAUACGAAUGGAUCGCCCUUUACCAAGUCGAUGGAUUUUCCCUCUGUACAUGGGCAAGAACAUGCGUAAGUGCGUCAGUUACGGAUAGAAGAAUUCAUGCAAGCUAUAGCGUUUUCGAUUAAUUAUGUGAUUUUUUAGAGGGAAGAUGGAUGGACUAAUUGGUUUGUAUCAUGCAUGCAGGACUAAAUCGAAGCAGACUGAGUUGGACCGUGAAUUCCUUAACAAGUGCUGUGAGAACCUAAGCAACGAGAACCAGAGGCUAAAAAGAGAGCUGGAAGAGCUGAAGUCGAUGAAGCCCGGGUGCCCGUUCUACGUCGGCAUCCCAAAGGUGGCGACACUGACCUUGUGCCCAUCCUGCGAGCGGACCAUGGCGGCUGGCGGUCAGAAAGGAAUUGGUGCUUUGGACGUCAUGAAAAGCUUGCGUGUACCUGUAAAUAAUGGACUUGUCGGCCUCUAGAACUAACAAGUGAUAGAAGGUUGCCAAGGCAUACAAGUAGGAGAUGGAAAUGGAUGAUAUAUAGGACUAAAGACGAAAGAGAACAAGAUUGGAAAAGGUCUAUUAAUUUGAUGAAAUUUGUAUUUAUAUGAGGGUUAUCUAUAUAUCUAGCUAGUUAUAUAUAAUUCAAUACAAAUACAAACUUGUUAUCAAUUUUAAUGUUGGAUGGAUUGGUAUCUACAUAUAUAGCGAACCUCGUUCUAUAAUCUUUUUCUCUGAAAGCUUAGCUGCAUUCAUUUUGCUGACUGACAUUAGAUGAUUGGUCCUUGGUUGCAAAGUUAUUUUUGUUUUAAACCUACAUAUCUUUCCUUUUUUUGAUGGAAAACGGAGGAAGCAAGAUGCUUCAUCCUUGCAAAAUUCUCUCUCUUUUUUGUUUUAAUCUUUGUUUUGAUGGAAUCUUCGGUUUUAAACCUACAUAUCAUUAAGUUUUUUCUAUUAACACAGAUCUGCUUUGUAUACCAUUUGGAAACAAAACACAAAAUCACCAUCAAAAGUCUCGAUCGAUCCCCUGAUGUAUGGGUGUCACAAGGACUUGUCAUGGCAUGCUUCAGGGUUUUGGUGCCUAGCAUAAUAAAAUCAAGUCGAUUCCAUGUUUGGGACCAAUCAUGCUAUACAUUGCUAGAUCCAUGAUAUCCAAUAUGAACAUCAGUCGUUCUCAAAGGCACAAUCUAGAAUAUAUGGGUGCCAUGGUCGAACCCUAAAAUAGGCUAAACCAACAUGCCCAAGGUUGUAGCAAUCUUGAUGAUAGAACUUUAGAAGUUAAAUGUGUGCAUAAAAUUGUCGACAACGCUCUUUGGCCUACUUAUACAGGCCAUGAAUGCAAGGAUAUUAGCUGAGUUGAUUGAAUUAAUUGUUGCUUCUUCAAAAACCUUAGACAUGAUGGGCUUAUACUAUAUAUAGAGAGAACAUUUGGAGAGUUUGCAAAGUUUGGCCAACUAAUAAUUACAAGAACAUUCUAUGGUUGAUGCCUACAACAUUGCAUCAAUGGACCAUGAAUCAUUUUUUUUUCACAUACAAUAUUCUAUGAAUUGCUGAAUCCUACGUACCAUGGGCUCACCCAAACUAUGACAGGAGGGCCAUCAAAUCAUGGUAGAUUAGUUGGUCUGGAAGUAUAUCUUCUUUUUAAUUCGAUAACUUAAGCCGAUGUUUUCCUCAAGAACAAUGAUAGGACUGCACCAACCGUAACACAGAAAUAUUAGAAAAUUUACCCCGUCAAGCACAAGCAUGAAGAAACCAACUUUUAAUACAUUACCGGACUGAAGAUUAUGGAGACCAAGAACCGAGAUAUGAUAAAAAAAUACUAAUCAAUAUGAUUUAGCUCUAAAGCAUAUAAAUAUAGGAUAAGAAACACUCAUAUUGAAGCUUGUUUACUAAAUUAUAUGGUGGACCAAUUCCACCCGUUACCCAGUCAUGAAAUUUAACUUUGUUCUUCCCAGAUGAUUGGUGCAUUGGACCCAUUCUGGUCCCUUGGUCGUUUUCUUUGAAUCGGAUUGGAGGCUUGGCCACCAAGCAAUUGAGGUACUUAGAAGGUGAGGUGAAAAUUCUAAGGACUACUUAAUUACUGAACGUUUCGAUGACAAUGCCCCACACUCCGUCAGCAAUGCAACCCAAACUUUUCUUGUGGUCGGAGAGAGAGAGAGAGAGGGAGAGUUUUUCUUUCUUCUCAAGUUUCAUGGGUCCAAUUGCUCAUCAAGAGGCAGAAGACAGUCAACUUGAACGAAAUUAUGAGUCUUGUCCGUUUGUAAUCUUCCUAUCUUUUUCCCAUUGAGUAUUAACCGGGUUACUUAAAACAAUUUUUAAGUUCAGAUUAUAGUAAACUUAUGACUCUAAUUUCCUCGUUUUCAUUUUUCUUCUUUAUAGAGAAUGCUCCGUGAGUUGAUUAGGAAAUAUCAGUAGUCUCAUGACUCUGUUUAAUAAAUUAAAUACACGGUCAUUGUAAAUGUCUCCAAUUACUGAAGAAAUAAUGGUAUAAGGAGCCAGUUGGCUGCAUGAAACGUUUCUAGUGCCGCAUGAUGAGAAAGCACUGGUGGGUGCAAUUCACGUGCACCCACACCAAUCUCACAUUGGCACAAGGAAUACAUUUCCCAUCUUAGCGAGAUCAAGGUCUGCUUUAGCUUGCCUUUUUUUGUAACAUCUUUAGAUUGUAUACUAAAAAGUAGGGUACAAGAGAUGUUCUAGUGAUUUAAUCAGUACGGCAGGUUGGUUCGUCUAAAUUUUUUAGAUGCACCAUGACUCUGUUCCUUUUUUUGUUUACGAUAUUUUAUUUUUUAAUUUCAUUAAUUGUAUUCAUAUUAGAAUAGUAUGGCUCAACAAAAAAAAAAAGAAAAGAAAAAAAAAAAGGGGAAAGAGAGAUGUUUCGGAUCUAAACCACACCCCUCUUAUCUGUCAUUCAUGGGAGGGAGGGUCAGAGCCGCCGGAGUGCAGUGAUCUCAGCCUUUCUGCUUUAAAAAACUUUAAAGCUGGGGUCACACGCAUUAAAGUAAACAUAUGGAAGCCUUCGUGCAGUCUUCCUUUGUCACUUGGGUCCUAUAGAAAUAUUUAUUCGACAUUGUAGUUGCCGUGCAGGAAAAGCUUAUUUCCGUAUUCUUAUCCGUUGCGAGCGGAUUGACCAUGACUAAGUAGCGUCUUGUCCGUACAACCCUCAAUCCGAGACCAUGGCUGGGACGCUUCAACGGGUAGGUGGAAGUGGAAUCCCACCCACCCAAGUCUUGGGCACCCGCCUGCCACGAUUGCGUAUUAUGUAGCUGCGAAUGCCGGUACUUUAAUUGCAUAAAAGAUGCAUAAGAAAAAGAAUGCCCAAACUCUAAAAAACAAAAACACUAGAGGGGAGAACUGGGUGGCUGACUGAUUCUAUGUCAAUCGACACUAUCCUAGCUCAGACGGAACCAGACCUCCGGAUAGUCCGAACUUGGAUAGAAUUUUCUUGCACUCUUUUAUGUGUGAAAUUUUUAAUUAGACCAAAUCCACUGCUGAGCUUAUUGACCAGGCUAGUCCAACCAUAAUUUGACACAAAUAAAUAUCUCUUUUCCAUCUAUUUGUUUUUUGUUUGUCUGGCUCGUGGUUGGACUAAUCCACCUUUGAGCUAGUGGACAUAGUCCAGCCAAUAAUUUCUCCUUUCGUAAAUCUUAUAUGAGCCAAUAUCUCUUAGCAGACUGAACUAUUACUCUCAAAACCGGCUGCCCAGAUUUGAGCCACCCACAUCUUUCUUUAACGGACAAGAAGCUGUACCAUGCAAACUAGGGAUGAGGGGUGAGGAUAGAAUGUUGUUGACAGUUUGUAACUAGAAGAGACUUGGCCUCUCCCUUCCACUACCGAAAAUAACGAAAAGAAUAAGAAAACAUUUCAUUUUCGGAUGCGUUACUAGCACUGCAUAUGUCUGUGCCACUAAACUGCACGGUUGGGUAGUUGUGGCUACAACUUUUCACAUAUGCUAAGGGGAGGUAGGCUGGCAGCAGGAGUAGCUUUGAUGUCCUUAGAAUACAAUCAGUUUAGGUAAAAUAAAAUCAUAGCAUAUGAUAAGACAUCUAAAUUGAUGGUCCAUAAGGUUUGUCCACGAGGAUGAUUUGAGAAAGAAACCACCCAUCUAUUCAGCUCAUAUGGAUAGGCAUCAACAGGAACAAAGGUUUUGGGAAGGAAAGUGCUGGUAGUCAAUAGCCAAUAGACUAGACACUGAUGUAUUUAAUUAAACGUCAGGUGUUGGUAAAGGUAUACAUGCAAACCACGCGUCUGUAACCCAGUACACGCUGUUAUGAGAGUUUAUGGGACAGUCAAAGAAAUUGACCUCAUAAACCCAGUGGUGUCAAGCCAUUUGUAAAAAGAAUCAAAGAAUGCCAGAAUCAAGCAGUAUUAGCAUAUUAACAGUUAGGAACAGAGAACUCCAGACGGGUCAUUCCCUGCCAGCCUCACAAUCCUUGCUAAAGAUUGUCCACAAACAUAAGAGAAAUUUCUCUUAUCCUUUACAGUUCUGUUUAACAAAACACAGCUCUUCUCAUCUAGAUGCUAGAGGCAGGCAUAACAUUAAUCUGAAAGGAGCGGUUGUGUACGAAAAAAGCGCGGUACAACACCCUUUAAGAUUGAGUCGAGCUGCUCACCUGCAACAUAGGUGUUCUCGAAGAUGAUUCGCUAACUUAAUUAUUAUGCAUCCUGGUCAUAACAGAUGAGAAUAAUCACAGAUGUAUAAUAGUUAGAAGGGUCUGAGUAGGAAACCUGAUUUUUUUUUUCUAACAUUGCAAUCAGAAUUUUGACAAUUAAACAGCAACCAGGUUGUAUCCUAAAAGUAGAUUCAUAUGAAAAUGCAGCACCCCACAACAUAAAAUUCUGCUAUACUUUUUUCUUUAAAUGGAAACCACAGCCUUCAACAUAUCUACAGCUCAGAAACUAUGGAGGCAUUUCCAUUGGUAAAAUGCUUUUCUUUUCUUUUUUCUUUUCUGACAAGAACAAAAUGAUUUUCUUAAUAAUGAGAAAAACUGAAGAUCCGUUCAACUCCUCUCAUAUUAGUCAUGACCGGUAAAGUUACAACUAUGUGCCACAUGAGAAAAACGUGACUCAACCGAUGAAUCAACCACAUAAACCAACCAUCUUUACUUCGCCAUAUGUAGUUUUUGCUCAAGGACAAGAGUAGAGUAUAUCAACUCAUUCCAUGAAUCCGGAAUCCCAGGGAGACACCAAUGGCUGCAAUCCUGCUUCCUUCUAGAAACUUUCUGCCCUUGUGUUUGGGUCUUACCAUAAAUUGAUGGAUGCCCAUCUUUACGGAAGUUGGUCAGCUUUGUUACAUUUAAGAGAAUAACCGGAAAAUGCAUUUCAUGAAUAACCUCCUCCACAACUUUCAUUUUCAAAGGGUAACUAUCAAGGAAAGCUCCGCUUGAAAUAGGAUCCGUCUCUCCAUUGCAUGUGCCACCAGAGUCCCAAUCUCCACCCCUAAUUAAAGAGAAGAGAAAAGAGGCUUGAGUAUUGAAUUAAAGAAUUGUAGAAAUAUGUCAGAUGAACAACAGAACUGCUAAAUAUUAUACAAAAAAGUAAUCAGCACCUGAAAUGAGCAGCAGAAUACCCCCGGUAAAAAACCAACUUCCUUGCAGGGUCCAAGUUAUUGUCAAUCCACUUUCCCCAAGUUCUCAUGGCUCUCCUAAAAGCAUCAAUUGCAUCAAACUGCGGAUAGAGAACAUCACCUUCUUGAUAGUAAUUCUUCCUGAUCAAUUAAAGCUGUCUAUUAGUCACGUGUGUGUCAAGCAAAGCAGCAGAAAUUAUGGUACUUAUGCUAGCUCAAGACUAAACUAGUGAAAAUGAGGGGCAAGGAGCAAAAGAUAUGAUUUACCCUCUUGCUGUCUUCCCAUGAGUCCACCAAUGACCAGUAUUAAAAACCAGAAUGUCAGCUUUCUUCCAUCGGUGAGCUGAUUUGUCAAUACAAUCUAUUGCAAGGGUGGGUGAUGAAUUGCCCCGUCCAUUGACACGUUUCCCUUCUCUAACAAGAAAAUGGGAGCGAACAAACUCUACAGUGCAGUUAUAAUCCUGCCAAAAUAACAAAAACAACCAGAUGAUCAAUUGUUGGCCGUUCAUCCAAUAAAGAGAAGAGAGAUGCAGAAGUAUAUUCUGCAAGUGGAUAUAUUUUAGGGCUCAUGGUUGAUUAUUUUUCCAAAUUGGUUGUAUCAUUGCUCUACUCACAUCUUGAAACAAAAGUAUUCAUUACUGCUACUUCAGAAAAAAAAUAAUUUAAUUCAGCAGAAUUUAGGCACUUGAAAAUAAACUGACGAUAGACAAGAAUUCAAUUCUCAGGCUUGACAGAUCAUGAUCUUGUUUAAUAAAUACAAGUUAAAACGUAGAAUGAAUAAUUCUCUUACCACAAACUUGAAUAUAAAGUAGCCACGUCCUUUAGUUAUUCUAUUCCCUCGGGUCUCAUACAUUUUGCUCUUAUCAGGCAAGGCUUCACGUAGAAGGCAAAGCAAGGAUUCAUACUGAUUCCGGUUCAUUGAAUCACCCACAAGCAUCAAUCUUUUACCUCUCAGUCUCUCCAAAAAGUCUGCUGCAUUAAACCUACCAAUCAAGUAUAAGGGCCAAAAAGGUAGAAAUUGCUUACAAAAAUAACCAAAAAUUAAACAUAUUCUAUGAGGGAAGAAUAUAAGUGGGUCAAGAAGAAAUAAGGAUGAGUCCUUGCAGCUACUUGGCAGUGGAAACAGUAGGAUAAAAGGUCCACACACAAGACCUAAUGCAUACAUAUGGUUCAAACACAAUAGAAGAGUUCUCUUCCAAGAUGGAUAAAAAUGAUUCCUCCCUUCAAUAGAUUGACUAACAAAUGAGUUACCAUAAAUAGUAACCCAGUGCAUGAAACUCCUACUAUUGUGGGAUCUAGGGAGGGUAAAACAUAUGCAGCCUUACCUCAUGUGCGGAAAUGUUGUUUCUGUGCUUCGAAACAAUGACACCCAAAUCACAAUGGAGCAACCUUCCCAUUGCCCAAAGAACAACUAAAAAUUUUAUGCUAAGCAGAAAUGCCAUAUUAUAGCAUGCAAGAACCUUUUCUUAUCUAUGAUGUAUUAUAAAAUGAGAGAGGAAAAUGCCAAAUAGAUUUUACUUGACAAAUUUGUAUAUAAAAGUGCCCUUAGUAUUUUAGAAAAAUAUUACUUAGAAAUCAUGUGGUAUCUUCAGUAAAUAUCAAAAAAAGUAUGUUCCUUUUUUUUCAUCUUCCUCUUUAACAACUAGACAAGUUAUUAUCUCUUCAAUCCUAUUGAUCGUCCCACUAAUUUCAAACUUUAAACGAUUUCUUUCCAAUUUUUAAUCCUUUCCGUCAUCUCUGCAACCUUAUGAUCCACUCAAAUAAUUUGAAAUUGAAACAGUUUGGGAGCACUCUCUCCAAUCCACAAAGCCCAUGAACCCCAACUUUCUCCCGGUUUUUUCUUUUUUAAACAUGAAUUGCACAUGUCCAUGUUACAGUUUUUUUUUUUUGAAAAAAGCUUCAGGGACACCUAUCAAAAUGUGUAAGAAUAUAUCUGAAUAACUGUGGAAUGAUUGUGUAUAUUUUAGCUUUGUAUAACCCCCUGUGAACCCAUCUCCUUUACUUGUAUGGCAACAUGCCAAAUGAAAGAAAACGCCUCAAGACGCCUUCACAGAAAGAAUUUCGAUGAAGGAUUACUGUUUGAUAGAUGAUGAGUAAAGCUCUUCCAUUGAUAGGACUCAAGGUUCAAUUGCACUUCUAGAUUUGGUCUUCUCUAGGUGGAUAACAUGUAAUCACUCAGCUGGGGAUGAAGAUAGACAUAUAGAAGAUGUGAAGAAGUGGCUCAACUAGGAAUGGAUGGCAACCUAGUACUCUCCUCGUGACUCAUAAACUAACCUCAAUUGCCAACCAACUAGAGUUUUCAAAGGCUGAACAUGCUCCCCAUUAAAAGAAAGGCAUGUUUUAUGGGAAAUUGGGAAUGCAACCAAAGAACAAAUUUAUAGCUUCCAAGGUAGAGGUUUAGCAUUUUCGGCAAUACCCUUAAAUUUACAAUUCUAGACAGAUGUGAAUCUCCAGAGAAAACAAGAUUGCUGGAGAAUGUGCUCUUUCUUUUUGCCCUAUAAUUCUAUUUUUGCUGGUCAAAUACUUUAAGCCAAUGUGUUCUGCCUGCGACCAUGUAAACUUGGUCAGAUCCUGAUCGUGAUGCUUGACACACUAGGAAACUAGCUUCUUUUCUUUUCCACUCACAAAACUAGGGAACUGGAUCGAAGACACACCCUUAUUCUUAUGCCUUUCUCCUAACCUAUAGCAAGGUGGUUAUUGUUCUCUGGCCUUAGUGUUAUGUCAUAAUCUUAUGCAAGAGUUGAAUGAUGCAUAACUCAAUUGCCAUGUCUCAAGAAACAACAACCAUUUUUUGUGCUAAAUAUUAUGAUUCCGGCUUGUAUCCAGGAGACACAUUAAUGGCCCAGAACAUAAAGCUAGCAAGGCAUGAUAUUGGUUUUUGAGUUGUCGCUUCUAAACAACUACAAAGUUGUGAACCACUACCACAGAUGUCAAUUUAUUUGAAAGUUUGAACUUGUAGUGUUCAAAACAUUACCAAGACUGUCAAGUGGUGCUUGGUUUGUUGUAGAUAAUUAUGAAGUGGACCAAUGUUCAGAAUGAGAAAGAAACUGCAAAUCAUGGCCUGGAGUCCAUGAAUUUCGCCAGACAUGGCUUGAGGUCCCCACUUAGAGUUCCAAUUUGUCCUGACAUGAUAGUCUGGGAAGGUAGGUUGUUGCUAGAGAUGACAACUAAGCUACAUCAUUUUCUUGAGGAGUUUUGCUUAAAAAAAGGACUAGAAAUGUGUUGCAGAUCCAUUGUCUCUUCUUCAAAAAGCACUAGAUAUUGUACGAUGAUGUAUCUAACCCUAUGGAUCAAUAAGGAUAGGCCAGCAAGCAACACACCAAAACCAUCUUGUGUCUCAGCUCCUUCCAUAAUGUGAUCAUGGGAUUGUCUAUGGUUCCAUGAUAUUGACUAAAACGAGGCCAGCACAUCAUCAAGAACAGUAAAUGUUGGACCUGUGCUACCUCGUGCUGCAAACAGGGUACCCUAUCUUAUGAAAGAAAAGUCAUCCACCAAGAUUCAUCAAUCAUCAUCAUUAUCUUUUGGCUUGGACCUAAACUCACUUACCAAUCAUUUUUAUUCAGUUGGAAGACGAAUUUAAACAAAUAUUUUUCUUAAUGGGUGCCAAUGGGCCAGAAUUGGAUGGUGCAGUGGUCAGCUUAAGAAUAUCUCAGACCUCAAUCUUACCUCUUAAGGCCCAAAACCAGCCAAUGUCUGCUGUCCAGAUAGAGGCCAAAGCCUAGUUUAUCCAGCUAAAAAUCAACCGAUACUUUGUUGAUAGCUGGCAUGUCUUCACUCUUCACAUUUGGUCUGUAUAAGAAGGCUAUUGUUUUGAUUUUAAAGAUCACUCCUAAAUGGAAGUAAACACUGAAGAAGAUAGAAGAUACUUGCAGAAUUAUGUUCUAAUGAACAGCAAAUAAUACAAAAUCGUAUAACUAUAAUAAACUACAUGGCAGCAAAUGUUAAAAGUCCACAUGUUAAACAUUCAUCAAAAUGUUAAAAACUAAAGAAAAUCUUAUAUUUUAUUGGGGCAUAAUUAUGGCUUAUCAAACCCAACAGCAAGGUCCAAGCUAGGCACGUAUACCAAGUAAAAGACAGCUCUAGCUCUAGCCCUAGCCCAACCCACAGAAUAUUAUUCCCAGCCCAAGUCCAGUCUAGAGCAGGUUAACCUAUUAGGCUAUUAAACCAAUCUAGGCUAUUGGCACCCCUAACCUAUUAGGUAUAGCGCAUGACCUAAUCCUUGUGGUGCUUGCAGUAUGUGACUGCACAGGUCUCCAUAUAUAGCAUCCUGCAAGUGCAUGCAACUCCAAAUCAAAUGAAUAUAAUUAUGGGGAUUUACUCAUCAUACACUAAUUUUAGCAACUGAAAUCACAAAGCAUUUAGAUGACAAAGUCUUAAUGAGGCAUUUUCUACAUUAAGCAUAUUCCCCUUGUAUAUAAGAGAGGCGAAUAUGGAUGGUAGUGACAGCUCAGAGCAAAUGCUAGAAUUUGGGGUGAAUGCACCAAGGAGAUUGUAGUUGUAUAGAAGCAAUAUGUCAUAGCACAACCAAAGUAGAGUGAGCAUGCUCCAAUUAGUAAAUGAAGAUUAAAUAUCAUGUUUACAUAGAAUUCUGUAAACAUUCAGCAAGCACCGAUGCUUGUUUUCUUCCUCCCUUCCCAUAUAAAAAGGUGCUAAGAAAUGGGAUAAUUGCAAGAGGAUAAAUGGCUGACAGAUUAGACGUCUGCCAGAAUUUCUAUGUGGAAAAAUAGAACCUAAGUUCUGUGAGCUUGCUAUGUUAGAUAUAGUGUGGAAAAGUUGACAUUGUAGUGUAAUUGCUUGUAAUACCUUAGUAAACCUGAAUUUGUUAAUCAAAUCCUUGAGAAUAAUUGAACGAAGGUUUAUGUAUAAAAAUAGGUAAGGGCUUUUCUGCAUAACAGUUUAAUUUGCUACAAAGAAUUUUCAUAAUUAUAAUAGGAAAGGUUGACAUAUAGAUGAAAUUUAUUAGGCAAAAGCUUUGUUAAUUUUUUAAACUACUGGAUACGAGGGGUUUAUUUAUGGACCCGAAAAAUUCAUGAGCAUUUCAGGAAAUAGAGAUUACUCUCAUGUGACUUACACUCAAGGAUAAAUGCUGGAUGCACAUUAUCCUAACAGAUGCUUUGAGAUACAUUAGAUUAUAUGCCAAAAAAGAAAUUGAAUAAGUCUUCUCAAAAUGAUUCCAUAACUCCUUGACGACUGAUUCCAUCUAAUCCUCUAUAACUUAACUGAGUAACAUGCUCUUCAUCUCCUUUGGAUUUGUAUUCUUUAUUAGAUGGCAUUCCUGUCCUAAAUAUUUGAGGGCAUGUUUCUAUAGAUUUGUCAGUUCUUCCUAUUAACGGCUAACUAUGGUGUCACUACAACUUUUCAUAUAUUUUCUGCCAAAAAAAACCAUGUACUUCAGUUGUCCCCUCCACUUCCUAAAUUGUUGACAUAAAUCUCAGCACCUCUCCUUAUCAAGAUCUCCUUCAAUCCUUCCCAAACUAUCUCAAUUAAUUCUCCACCACUCUGUUUGUAAACAUAUGCAGCUUUUGCAUCAUCUAACAUACAAUCCUCGAUUUACCAUUCCUAGUCCUAUGAACAUCCAUACCAAAUCUCCUCUCAAAGUUGAUGGAAAUACGUUAUUGAUUAAGCUUCUGAAUUUCAGUUCAGUAUGACUUCAUUUUAUGGUGUUUUCUUGUUCCAAGUUUCCUUUGGAGUGCUCAUGAAAAAAGCAACAUAAAUACAUGAAGACAGUAACUAACAGCAAAAUACGGUCAAAGUUAGAUGAGUUCAUAUAUUAUGUCAUGACUAAUUAUUUCUUCUUUCAUUCUUGCUAUGAUCAACAGGAGACCACUAAACAAAGAACUAUUAAGAAGUACACAAAUCUAAGUGGUUGAGGUAAAACUGCAAAUCAGAAUCUUCAGAACUAUAAUACCCAGAGUGGUUUAACAGUGGCAGUAUAUUUGACUUCAUAGGUAGAUUUUUAUCAAUAAAUAACCUUCAAUGGAUGAGACAUUCAACCGCUUUUUAGUUAUCCUAGGGAUAAGAAUUGUGAACAUAAAUUUAGAGUUCUCACUCAAUUGAUGUAGCUCUUUCUACGCUUCCCUAUAACUAAUGGCAUGUGCACUGCCAUCCCAAAAAGGAUAGAUAAGAGAGUGCCAACCUUGCUCUUACUCCAAACCUUGCAGCCAAUCUUGGAUAACUCAAAUAAAAAUUUCAUAAUAGAAGCCUCCAACUUCAACACUAAACAUUAACGUAUAAAUGUAACAAGUAAACUUGACUACCUAGUAAAACUAGUUGUUUAAAAUCUUCUUAUACCCUUUUUUAAGGGAUAAGAAACAGAAAUUCUUGUGGGCUAAUUAAGAGAUGACCCUCACCAUUGACUUUCCAACUAUAGUAAAACUACAUAUGUGUGAUGCACAUCCUCCAUUUUCCUCAAAAAAAAGGAAAGAAAGAAAGAAAAGUGUGAUGCAGAUGACAGACUCAAGGAGAACGAGUUGAUUGAUGCUUAUGAACCCAAUGACCAAUAAAGAGGGUGAAGUAUUUGAUGCAGUUACUGCAUCAACUAAUCAAAAUGUAAGCAGUAUUUGAUGAAAAUUGUGAUCCCAUUAAUCUAUGAAUCGUUGCAUGGCAUGUGUGAUGCGCAUAACUGAUCCAAUAGAGGGAUGUCAUGGUUAUGAUUCAAAACAAAGGAAUAUCUGAUAGAUGGUCAUCACCCCACAACUGAGUGAAAUGUUCAAGAAUAGGUUUGCUGCCAUAAGAUAUUUUUCAGUUUAAGCAAACUGGCAAAUUUGCUCCUGUUCUUUGAUUACCGUACUUUCCUUAUCUAAGAUACCGAGAGAAAAUUAAGAGGAAUCCAGAUUGGUGAAUGUAUAGACUACCUGAUAAUUUUUAGGACAAAAAGAAAGGGGCCAAAUGAAAAGAUUACAGGAUAUGGCAUCCAUAGGCAUGCCAAGCCUCUGAGGCUUUACAUAGCAAAGAUGUAUUUAGGCUCCCAUUCAAACAUCCUCAAGCAUGCUAAGCAGUCAGGCACGUAACAAGCUGGACAUAAAUUGGACUGCAGCCCAUAGAUUCAUAUUGUUAGAUGAAUCAGAAAGCCAUCCAAGCCAAUAAGAUUCGAUCCAUUCAAGUAUCACGUUACCAAACUCCAAAAGUUGUAGCAGUGAUAAGUUUCAAAAGGUCCAAACUUAAACUUACCAAGUAACUGGAAGAAAAAAGAAAUGAAGGGAUAAUAGUAGCCAACAUGAUAAAGACCUGAUGCAUUAUUCCUUACCAUUCCCUAAAACAUAAUUUCUGUUCCUUCUUUCCUUUUUCAGCUUUGACAUCCUACCAAAUUACAUUGAAUCUGUGCGACUCUGAUGAAAAUUCUCCUACUAAAUUUUAUCCCACAUCAUAUUCGGGGUGGCUCUAGAGUUUCAUUCCUCCUCUUUUUUCUUUAGAAACAUGCAGGCAAGACCUACCCAGCGGAACUACCACGGUCCAGUUUCUUCGGAGCAAACCUCCCAAGUCAUGAACUCGAGCCUCCUUUUGAAGGAGGAUCAUGAGCACUGCACUACCACCCAGUUCACCCCCUCAGUAAUUUGUCCACAUCCAAUGCUGCGCCUAAUGUCUAAAAGUUCUAAACUUUACCAUCUGUAAUCAAUGACAUCCAAUUAUUCCAUCCUUCAUAUUCUUGGUCCAAUUAAUAUGGCUGAGUACAUUUCCAGAAAUAAACUAAUGAGAUGGAGAGUGAAGGAAAAGAAUCAGCUUAGAUAAACUACCUCGGAAGAUCACAAUCUUUCGGCUUCCACCUCCACUUCAGGUAAUCCCGAUCCGGCCUCCCGUUCUCCUGGCAGCUAAAAGCCUCGUCCACAUAAGGGCAAGAUCCCGGAGAAUAGAGAGGGUACCACCCCUCCUCGUCCCUUUCCCACCUCCCCUGAUAGAUAUCGCACUUCCCCUCCCUCCGCCCGGCCGGACGGCCUUCUCGAGCCUCUGCGUCAUCCCGAUCGGGCGCCGCCUCCGGUUCCGGCUCCGAAACUGCGAGCUCGGGCACCGACGCGAUACCAUCAUCAACUUCUCGAGGUCCCACGGCAUCCGCCGGUCGCGGCUCCGACAAUGAGGGUCCGGGGGGCGCCGAGAGAGGCGGGGGAGGGGGAGGACGGUAGAGAGAAGGAAGCGGCGGCGGCGAUGGCGAUGGCGGAGAAGGGAGGAAGAGAGCGAAAGAGAGGGAGAAGGGGGAGGGCGGAGAGCGGCGGGUGAGGAAGAGGGCGGAGAGGAGAAAGAGACAGAGGAGGAGGACGGAGGCGAGGAGGAAGCGGUUGAUGGGGUGGAAGGCGGAGAGAGGGAAGGAGAGCGCCAUGAGAGCCGCCGGAGGGACAUUUAAUUCGAGGCUGCUUAAUAUCCCGCCCGCUGUGAUCACCAGGGACGAGGAGAGAGAGUGGACAUCAAGGGGGCGGUGACCCGAUCCCACCGUGUGCGUGGGAGGUGGGGAAAGCCCAAAGAGGAGGGAACCGGGACGCGUGAUUUCUAAAUCCCUCUUCCCUGUGCAAUUAUAUCGGAUUACCGAAAAAAAAGUAAUCAAUUCAAUUACGAGGAUGAAAACAUUAUGGCUUUGGACACCACCUCUAGGCUCUAGCUAAGUAAAUGAAUGGCAACGCUGAAUCAUAAUGUUGAUAGGAAAUCUUAGAGCUGCUCAAGGGGCAGGUUUGGACACAGAAGUAGUCAAAUUUUAAAUAAACCCGGCCCAAAGCUCGAUUAAAAAUGAAUAAAAUUUCGGCCAGUGAAAACUAGGUUUAGGCUGUACCUAAUGUGACUUUAUACCUAAUCCAUACCCAAGUUAAAUAAGCAUGAAUGAGGCUUGGAUUCCAAACUUGGAUUCAAUCUUCAAAUUCAGAAAGUUAUGGAUGCAGAAAAUUUGAGCCCAAGCUAAUUGCACUUAAACAAGCACACCAUCUGGUAGAAACUAGCUUAGAAAAUCGAACUGUAUAGUGAGACAAAGAAAAGGACACAUGGCCCAAUUAGGGUAGACAUUAUUUAUAUAUGGUUUAAAUUUGUAUAUACUUGUUGGAACCAAAGCCAAUUCAAGUCGAAUCUAAGCUAUAUCUGAGCCCAACCUACAAGCUUGAAACAUUAGACAUAUACUUCACCUUGGCUAUCCAAUUAAACAUAAUACAACAUGUGCAAAAUGCAUGCCAAAGCAAAUUUCUAUUGGGAACAAAUAAUCCCAAGGGUGCAACAAGAUAAGUUUUUUCUUUUGCCAUGAAACUGUUUAUAUAUAUAUAUAUAUAUAUAUUUCUAUUGGUUAUUAUUUUCACAUACAGAUGCAAGUACAUUUAAUUGGUUCCGUAAAAAUGAAUUCAAGCAUGCUUUGUUGAUAUAUUUAGGGAUUUAAAAGUGACCAGAUUUUUACAUACAUAUCCUUACAAAUCUAGCUUAUUGUAUAUCUACCUUCGAAAAAGCCAAUCAUAUAUCUCUCAAAUCAUACUAUUUUUGCACAAUUACCCCUCACAUUAAAUUUUCGGCAAAUGGUAUUAAUAUAUAACAGUUUAAAGUAUAAAAUAAUUUUAUGUCCCUUUUGCAUUAAUGUUUAGCAAAAAAAAAAUGAAUAUAUGCCUUAUAAACAGAAACCAAAUGUUAAGUUUUUUAAGCUUAUUAUUAUAAAAGUGGAAUAGUAUUAAAUGAGACUAAAAAUCAUUGUUUAUUAACAAUAUUAUCAAAAAAUCUAAUGGGAGGGACAUCUAUAUAAAAAUAGGACGAUUUGUGGGGUAUAUAUACACAUAGAGAUUUUCAAAGUAUAAAUAUGGAAUAAUCUAUAUUUGCAUAGGCAUCCGUGGUUAUUUAUCUCUAAAAUCACUUGUCUAGCAACCUUGGCCAAUAUUUAUAGAAGCUUGUGAAUAAGCAGCUUAUUAGUUAUGGUUCAACCAUAGUCUUGUACAAAAUUUUUCCUUAAAUAUUCCUUCUAAAUUGUAGUCAACAAUACUAGCUUCAUGGGAAGCUAGCAAUAAGUAUUUUUGAGUAAUUUAUAUUUGAUAAAGGAAAUGUACAAUUUUCCUUUCACAUAUUCAUUAUCAACUAAAGUUGGCAGGAUCUGCGAUUUCAUGCGAAGCUUGCGAAUUAGGAAGGUAAUUUUAUAGAUAUAUUGCAUAAAAAUGGCAUUAGAUUUUUAUAUGAUGUUUGCGACUUACUUUUGCGUAAUUAUUAAUUUGAAUAGGAACCUAUAAAUAUAUCUUUUUCACAUCAGUAAUUAUUUCCUUCCCCUCCCGCCUUCCUCCUUUGCCUCUUCCUUCCUUCUCAUAUCCAUGGCGACCACCUGACUCCACAAACCCAGAGUCGUCUUGGAGUGAGGUGGCUCGGCCCGUAUAGCAGGCGAGAUGCAGAGGAGGGCCCCUCCGAUCACUGUAUCUCCACAGCACCACCAUCCUCUCCCCUUCUUUAUUCGAACUACUAUGACAAUUUCAAACAUAACAAUGGCAGUAAAUCUACUUGGAACCCUACUUGGAAAAAUAAGUAAUGAUAGCUUAAUAGUCUCUUAGAUGGUUGGACAACAUAAGAACUUGCAUGAUCGCUAAGUAUGCAGAUCUAUUCUGAUUCUGAUAAGGAACCAAACACGUGGAAAGAUAUGAUCAUUCUGAUUUCCAUUCCCAUCUAUUUCGAUUUCGAUUUUAAUUGCGAACUAAAUAUACUCUCAGUGUUGAAUGAGAUUAAAAAUAUAGUUGGGCGAAAUUGCUGGCCGUGCUUUUUCUCCACAGCCGCCAACCUUGCUAGCCAAAAAAAAAAAAAAAAGAAGUUAUGCUUGGAAAUCUCAUGUCUAUUUUUUUUUCCAAAAAAAAAUCCACAUUUGAACUUGACAUGCAACCUAAUUUUUCAUUUUUUUUUCCAGGGAAGUAACCAAUUUUACUAGUUAAAAUAAAAGAAUCAAUGUCCUCCUCUCCCGAGGUCAGAAAUGUGGAGGUACCUUUUCCGUCACCUGUUAGCUCUGUCCGCCACGGGUUAGCGAAUUUGUUAGUGCAAACAGCUUUCAUAUCAUCAUCUUUCUUAAAGAAAACAAGCAGCUUUCAUCAUCCCUAACGAAUUUCAAUGGACUUUGUCAAUUGUCCAACAUCAAACAACUCUCUCAAUGAUUCGAACGAAGGGCCAACCACUGUGGCCUCUGAUAGGUUGGUUUGGCCUGGGCUGCAAUAUUAUUCUAUGCUCACUGGAAAGCCAUCGGCAUCAGCCGGACAAAAUCAAUUGAAACUUUCAAAGUGGGACAGCCUCCAUAGCUGUAACAUGAUCAUUUUCCAAAGGUUGAGAGUUGAAAUUUCCAAGCUGCGAAAGGGAUAGAUUAAGAGAGAAGGGAUAGCCGGUCACCCCCAUCCAUUUUCGACUGGCUGCGUUUGUCCCCACCCAGCCUCCUCCCUCAAAACCAGAGCUGCAACCAUUCAAACACAAUGAUCGGCAGGUCCCCUAGACUUAACACUGGAGAUAAGAAUGAUUCAUUUCAGUCUUCCGAAGAAGCCAUCAGAUUAUGAUUCAAACCAUAAGCCACCAAAUCCACAGCUGUUUCUGAAGCGUGCCCGCCAGCUUUGCACCAUUCCUUCACUCAUCAAACAAGCACCUCGGACUCCUAUAAAAAGCUCCUCAAGCUCUCCAUGCGACCUGAGCUAUUUGUUUAGACAAACUAGCUCCUGACCUCUUUUUUAACCAUGUCGAGGCCCUCCUCCAUCGCCACUAGUACCGGAAUGAUGCUUGUUUCCUUGGUGCUGGUAUCCCUAGUGGUGGUUGCCAAUGGCAGCAACUUCUACCAAGACUUCGACAUCACAUGGGGAGACGACCGUGCGAAGAUACUCGAUCAUGGGGAGCUUCUCGCGCUUUCACUGGACAAAGUUUCAGGCUCUGGAUUCCAGUCGAAGAAUGAGUACCUCUUCGGGGAGAUAAGCAUGCAGCUCAAGCUCGUCCCAGGGAACUCUGCGGGCACUGUCACUGCCUACUAUGUAAGCCUCAACAUCAUGCUAUCUUUGUUCUCUCUCUGCAUGAUCUUGAUCAUCAUGUCCCCUUGUCAGUAAUUAAGACUUCGAUGAUCGAUUCAUGUAAUGCUUGUAGCUAUCAUCGCAAGGUCCAACCCAUGAUGAGAUCGACUUCGAGUUCCUGGGGAACCUCAGUGGGGAGCCUUACAUCCUCCACACCAACGUGUUCACCCAGGGGAAGGGGAACAGGGAGCAGCAGUUCUAUCUCUGGUUUGAUCCUACAGUCGAAUUCCACGCCUAUUCCAUCCUUUGGAAUCCUAUUAACAUCAUGUAAGCUUCUGAACCGCUGUAUGGCAGUCUAUGAUACAAGAUCUUGUAUGUAUCAAUAGACUAUUUUUUUUCUUUUUACUAGGACAUAACUGUUGUCUGUAAGUUUUCCAGCUUCUCUGUGGAUGGCACUCCCAUUAGAUUGUUCAAGAACUUGGAGUCCUCUGGAGUCGCCUUCCCUAACAGCCAAGCCAUGAAGCUCUACUGCAGCCUCUGGGACGCCGACGACUGGGCCACAAGAGGCGGGCUUGUCAAGACCGACUGGACGCAGGCACCCUUCAUUACCUCCUUCAGAAAUUUCAGCGCUAAUGCCUGCGUGUGGUCUUCAGGCACUUCUUCUUGCUCUUCUAGCGCUGCUUCAUCGAAUGAUUCGUGGAUGAGCCAAGGGCUAGGCACCACAGGCCAAGAAAGGCUAACAUGGGUGCGAAACAAUUACAUGAUCUAUGAUUACUGCAAGGAUACAAAGCGAUUCGCACAAGGCCUCCCAACCGAAUGCUCCCUCGCUUGACUUCUCUUAAAUGGAUCCAACCAUCUUUGCUUCUCAAUAAAAUUCUCACUCAUUGUAUCAAUUGUUGUUGAUAUUACUGGACACCGACUAUGGUUUUCGAAAAAAAAAAUUGUGUUAUAAAGAUUCAUGGCUUGUUGUGAUCUUAUUACUUCUGUAAGUUCUGUUAUUAUUAAAUUGUUUAAGGUUCGUAGAAUCAAAAUUUUCUAAGCAGGACUUUAAAUAUAGUUGAAAAAAACACCAUCAAUAGAUUUUCUGAAUAAUACAGUUUCAGUUGUUGAGACCUAGUGUGAAUAUCAAACAGAUAUUUCUAUUGAAGAGUGAAGAAACGGAUUAAACUAAAUACAGAUAACCUUUUGAAACAUAUGAAUAAAAGAGAAUUAAAUUUGACAUCCAUGUUUCAGGAUGCCCGGUGUAUGUUGAUUAAUAAGCUUGUUUUGAUAAAAUUACAGGGUUGGAGAGCAGAAAUACCGCAAUUGUGGCUUGCAGAGGGUAUUGCCAGUAAAUCUAUCAUAUCUUUUUCGUGGUUAUGAAAUCCAAAGAGAGAUUCGAAUCUAAGAAGAUUCAAAUCCAAUUUGAUAAAUAUCUAGUUAUGAUUUCCACAAAAUCAAGGAUCCAAUUUUAUCAUGUUUUCUAAUGCUAGGAUCAGGGUUUUGGCCAGGAAACUGAAUACACCUAAUUUCCAAACUACUCAGCCUCACCAGUCCAGUUCAUUUCUUUCUUAUUAGCACACCAGUUCCCAACUGAUGCUUGGAUUUAGACAUAGUCAAAAGUGAUUGUAUAAUAAACGCUAUUUCAUAUGAUCCAGGGCUUGUUCUAUUGGUCACAUCUCUCUGCUUAGCAACCAGAAAUUAUGGACUAAAUUCUUGGAUGAUGAGUCUUUGAAAAAUCUAGACUUGAAUGAUUGUACAUGGAUGGUCUUCCUCUCCCUCCCUCACAAAAAGCAAACACUACUUGAUAAUGUCUCCAAUAAAUAAAUAAGAAUGUGAAAAGAAAUACCAUGCCCAAGUUAUAUAUAUACAUACAUAUAUACAUACAUAUAUAUAUAUAAAAGAUAUUUUCAAAUUUAAUUAAAUAUUCAUGAUCAACAAAAUCAUUCAUCAAGUGCUUUGCUCAUGCGUAGCACUGGCUGCAUUUGACUGCACUCUCUCGGUGGCCAUUGUGAAUAAAGUUAGUUAAAUAAAUAAAUAAUAAAAAUCAUAAUCCCAACAAUGUGAGUCAACAUCUUAGCAUCCAUCCAUUCCUCUUUCUAUUGUCUUGGUCAUGUUGCGUUGUAACUAAGACUUUUUUUUUCUUUUUUUUGUUUUUUUGCUACGACGGAUAAUAUGUGUACGGAUACAUCCAAUAAUAUCAGAAAACAAAAUAUCACGGAGCUCCCAAGACAGCUCCUCAUUCCCUGUCCACACGGUACUGCCAGCGUGAUUGGUCACGUAGGUAGCCACCCAGUCCGCAGCCUCAUUGGCUUUUCUAAACACAUGCUUAACCUGAACAAUACCUCCAUCCCUCAUCAUCAUCUAGACGUCACGAUUCAUGCUGUGUUGCAGCCAAGACUUCACUGUCUGAUUCAUGUAAUGCUUGUAGCUAUCGUCGCCACGCCCAACCGUAACGAGAUCUGACUUUUCUCGGGUACCUUAGUGGGGACCUUACAUCCUCCAAAACCAAUGAGUUUACCCAAGGGAAAAGGAGCACUUCUACCUCUGGCUUGAGCUAAUAACCCCACACCAUGUUAUGUGAGUCCUAAAUAUCUAAAUAUUCCAUCAGAACGUGCAUGAAUUUUUUGUAUACAAGAACCAUUUCGGUCCUCAACUACUUACUGCAGUCCUCUAAGGAUAUAUACUUGAAUGCUUUAACAUGGCUUGCAAAUUUUCCCAGUUUCUCUGUCGAUGAUAAGAGGUUUCAAGAAUCUGGAGCCGAGGGGUGUGACGUUUCCAAAGAAUCAAUCAAUGAGGAUCCAUUCUAGCCUUUGGGAUGCUGAAGACUGGGGAACAAGGGGCGGGCUACUGAAAACAGACUGAAGCCAAACCCCCCCUUAACUGCCUUGUACAGAAACUUCAGUGCCGAUGCUUGUGUUCAGACCUCUGGUACCUCUAGCUGCAGUUCAACAAAAUCUAUUUGCAAUUCGUCAGGCAAUGCCCGGUUGAAACAAGACCGGGACUCCACAAGCCAAGAGAGGAUGAGAUGGGUACAGAAGAACUACAUGACUUACAGCUAUUGCACGGGUCUAGAGAGAAUCCCUCUGGGCCUACCACCAGAGUGUUGUGUAGUUGAGAAACUAAUUUCGAGCAUCUUCUCUAUCAAAUCUUCUAUCAGAGAUUUAUAGAUUUUUUUUGUUUUUAAUUUCUUAUACCCAGUCAACUAGGCGUAUGAAUUAUCUUCUAUAGAUUUAAACAUCAGUGCAGCGUUAUAUGACACAUAUCCAGACAAUCAUUGAUGAUAGUUGCUAAUCAGUACAGGAUCUUUAUUGUUGUUCACAAACAAACCAUGAAGAUGAGAUGCACUGAGGCGAAAAUCGGAAGAAAACUUACUAAUCCAAAUGAAAUAUCCAUCGAUAAGUUUUCUUAUCUGUAGCUGAACAAGCAACAACUGCAGCUAAUCCAGCUUCAUCAACUAGUUUUCUCCUCUUAUUUAUUGCCUUCAACUAGAAUACCUUUCUAGUUGUCAAAGAAAAAGACAAAAACAAAAAGCUCCCAACCAAAAAAAAAAAAACAAACAGAUGCUAUCCAGUUGUUGAAUUGUUUCAGUAAAUUCCAAAGCGUCCAAAUCAAUAUAAACUAUUUUCAGGCUUACUGAUAUUUUUGUAAAGAAGAUGUAGACAAUAUUUGUCACAUGAAAGUGGUGUGAAACAUUUAACAGAAAGGAUAAAUCAUACAUGCAUCUACUAGUAUAUUUUAAGCAUCAAGGGCAUUCCACUCCACAUAAAAAGCUACUUACAUCAUUGCAAUCAAUGCAAAAAAAAAAUGAUGGAACAGAAAAUGAUGUUUUGGUUAUAUCGUAAUUCUACAUACACGUCUCCACGAACAAAAAGCCGCACAAUCUACUCUAACUGAAAGUACAACCCUGAGCUUCUGGGAGACACCUGAGAAUGCCGCAACCUGCAUAUUGAGGGAUCAAUUGGACAUGUGAAUUAAGAUUUAUAUUCAUAAAGCAUUAAGGAUUUUUUCCUCCUCUCACUAGAUAAAGAAUGAGUUUUUAAAGUGCAAAACAGGGCAUCCAAUGCUAGUUACAGUGCUUUCUUUAAUGUACAACUGCAUCAGGGCAUGCAAAAGUCUAAUUUACUUAGUUGUGAAAAGAGAUUGUAGCUUGUAAGAAAACACAAUCACAUAUUAAAGUUUCAGUGUGCAAUUUUUUUAUCCAUUAUGUUUACAAUCCACAUAUUCAGAUUUGUUUAUGACAUCAUUUUUAAAAUCCAUAUUAACAAGUAACCUGGUCUUGCUGAGAAUAUAACUUUUCGCAAUUAUCUUUGGUACCUUCAUAACAGUUCACCUUCCUAAGAUCCACUAAAAAGGUUAGUGCACAAGAAGGGGUCAUGCCAAGACAUCCAAAAUCAGCAAUUAACAUUACAGAAAAGACGGUGUUUACCAUGCAUUACUGCAGUGAAAUCAGUAGACAGAGUUAGAAUAUCACACUUUCAUCCGCAUAUGCAGAUGUCACAAUCAAUUCCAAAGGUGACCAACGGAUCCAAAUUCAAAUGGACACAAGAUCAACUGAAAACCAUAUGCAUCUCCAGUCUCUGUGUUUCCUUCACUUCCAUAUCUCCACUUAUAAAAUAUAGCAGUGCCAGAACUCAUUUUCAGCUGGAAUUCAGAUGCUUCAGCAUGCAACAAUUGCAUAGCAUAUCAAAACAUCCAAACACUUCCUACAUGUACUAAUAGAAAAUCCCUCUAUUUCAAUUGAAAAAUCUAUCAGGGAUUUCUCUCUCUAUUUGUCAGUCUUAGAAGGCUGCUUCCUAGCGAGUGUUUACUUAAGAUGAAGUGAAUAAGAUGUGCAACGUUUGCAGUGUUCUCUUGUAGAUCUUCUGGCCCUGUACAGUAAGUUUGCUCCCUAGCAGGAACUCAAGAGCAUACAUGCAUAGAUGCACUAUGCUCCUCGCAAGAGGAGAGGACAUCUGCUCCUAGCAAGUCCAAAAUCAAUAAUCAGGCAUCCAAUAGAAGAUCCACAAUGUUGAUUACAAUCUAGACCAGUAAAAAUGUUGAGAAAUAAAAAUCACAUGUUUUGAUAGUCUCUUACCUAUGUACCAUGAGACAAAAAAAAAUAACGGUUUUUAUUAUACUAAUAUGCUAAAAUACAUGAGAAAAUAUUUAAAUUGAGAAUCCACCUUAUUGAUCACAAUCUAUUCAUGUUAAAGCGUGCAUGGAUUGGGAGAUGUUAAUGCCUAGAUCAUAGCAAAAUAUGGCCUCAUACAUUUUAAACAUACCUUUUACACCCACUUAUGGCAUAGAUUAGAAACCACCAACACAUGCGAUUUUUUUUUAAUCUCUAUGCAUUUUUAGUUAUAUAUAUCAUAAUCAAUGGUGUGGAUCAUCAAUUUGGGUGUCAAAUUAUUGAUUUUCAACCUAAGAGGAGGAGAUGAGUAGAUGCUCUCUCUCCUCUCAAGAGGCAAGUAGUCCACCUCUCUCUCUCUUUCUAUAAUAUAUAUAUACACACAUAUAGAGCCAACUAAUAUAUGGGAUUAGACAUAUACAUAUAGAGUAGAGUAGUAGACUAAUAUAUGGGGGCCCAUACAACAGCAUAAAUAAGGUCAGUCCUAGCCGUUGGAUAUAAUCUACUAUCUCUAAAUUGCUUGUUGUAAAAAAUUCUUGUAAUUUGGAGAUUCCUAGCCUAGCAUCUAAUGUCAAAAAAUAGGCAUUGUUUGUGUUAUUUCAAUUGUCCAUUUUUAACCACUAGAUGCAUAAGCGAUGCAUAGGCUAGGGGAUUUAUAAAUCAUAUGAUUUUUUGACAAUAAGCAAUUUGAAGAUAGUACAUUAUGUCCAACAACUUGGAUCACUAGUGCCAGACACUCAGUCAUUUGCUGACCUCAUUUGGGCUAUAUAUAUACAUGCAUACAUAUACAUACAUAUAUAUACAUAUAUACAUAUACAUNNNNNNNNNNNNNNNNNNNNNNNNNNNNNNNNNNNNNNNNNNNNNNNNNNNNNNNNNNNNNNNNNNNNNNNNNNNNNNNNNNNNNNNNNNNNNNNNNNNNNNNNNNNNNNGUAUCUGAGAAUACCUAUUCAUUUCCCCACUGGUAGAGUUGUAGUAACACAUUGUUUGGGAAGUCUUAUAUGGAUGCACAAAGCGAGAGGAGGAAGGGAGCAUGAUUAGGUGCAGAAGCAAGCAGGAAGUAGUUGUAAGAAAUGAUGGGAAUGGGAGUGGCAAAGAAAAUUUUGGAAAAAAUGAUAUCAUAAGCUAAAUCAAAUUAAAAGUCAUAAACAUUUUUUAAUAUAAAUUAUAUAUCAAACUUUAUAAUCAUCUCUCAAAUUUAUGAUCACAGCAACUCAAACUGAUUCGAUAACUAGCUAUUGUUGGCAUCAGUUGAAUUACACAUUUUGGCUUUGACUUCAACUUUGGACUCAAUCAUAUUACAUGAUCAACAUUUCUUUACUUGAUUAUAUUGUAUAAUUAACUAGAUCAUAUUAGUCAUGAGAUCCAAUUUGAUUUCUCAUUAUGUUCAGAUCAGAAUGCAUGUUAUAUAGAAUUCCCUUAUCUUGGAAUCUUAUAAGAGUUGGAAGUCAAUAUACUCUCAUUUUAUAUAAGAAAAUUAUCCAAAAUACCUUCUUGAGUGAUCUUAGAUGGUGAGAUGCUCCUAGAUUAUGAUUCAAAUGUAAGUUUUAUCCUUUCUCACAAAACUGUCAGAUUGCUCAAAACUCACCAUCAAGAAAAUGGAAAAUAACUCCUGUAGUAGUAAUCACGCCAAUGAUGAAUAAAUGCGAUAACAUUUUAUAAAGGAAGAAAGAAGGAAAGAAACAUUUCGUGCAAGCUAAAUUAAUCAUGUUACAUACAUGUCAUAAUUCCGGUGUGGUUAGUGCAGAAUGCAACACUUCUUCAAGAUACUUCUCUGCAGCUGCAUAUUGCCUUUUUUUAUCCUCAAUUGCUAACGCAGCAAGAGCUUUAUCCUGAAUAAAUAACAAGAAGAAUAUAUUAAAUCCUAUAAGCAUCAAUUGCACAUCAUUAUUAAUUAAAGAAAAGUGACAUUAUACAGGUGGCAAAUCUUGAUAGCUCCUCAAGGUAUCCAGAAUGGGCUUUGUUUUCUUCUCUAACUCCUUUCUAUGCUCAGCCAUUUCCAUCAGCACACCGUGAUUGAUCUCUGGAGUAUAGCCCACACGUUUUAGUAUUGCCUGUUUAUGGUGUUUCAAGGAUGGAUUAGAAAAAGACAGCGAGUUUCAUGUGCACCAAAAGGCACCAUGCUAGAAGUAGUUUACUUUGAAAGUAAAUGAGUAAGAAAUAAAUGGCAAGUUGUCCUCCACAUGUUCCCAGUUCAGAAAUACUAUAUCAUCUUAAAAUUUGUAUAAUGUCAGGUAGAUAAAUUUCAAAAACUUAAACAUGAAAUAACUUUGGUUGGUAGCAGGAUGUGCUAGGCUGAGAUGACAUAACAGAUUUAGAGAACAAAUUUAAAAUAAGUAGGUUAUAUCUAAGGCUUAAGAUUCAAGAUAGAAGGUCAGUCCUGCAGAAAUUAGGUAAAAUCCAGCUUAAUAUAAUACAAUUGGCAGCAAUAACUCAUUGGUUUCUGUCCAUCUUGAAUUAGCUGCUAAUUUGCUAUACAUCAAUUGAACCUUCUGACUUAAAAGUUAAAACAUAAAAUUCUUUUAAUAAUUAAAUCACUAUCGGUUGUGAAAUAUUUCACCAAAAUACCAGGCCAAAUUUGAACCUGAUCCAACCAUCCUCAAACCCAACAAAUGAUAUAAAUUUGCUAGUUUCCCAAUAUCUUAAGUUGAUUAUGACACAGUCAACAAAAGCUAAUCUUCUGUACAUCUAAUCAGGCUUCGGCCGAUGAUAAAAACAAGGCAAGCCAGAUGGUAUACGACAUGACCAAUCCAGUUUAAUCUAAGUCGAGCUGUAAUGCAUACCUUAGUUGGGUAAGAAAAGAGAAUUAGUUGCAAGUUCCCAACAGAAAUUAUGUAAUUAAAGUUUCCUACAUAUUGCUCAACAAGGCUUCUAAAGAUAUCCAUAAGUAUUUUCUUCCAACCCAAUUAUCUUAGCUCGAGGGAAACAUUUAAAUGCCCAAAUACAUAUCACCAAACCUCCCAUCAUAAGACUACCUCUACAAGCAUAAUUGAAGCCACAUUGUACCUGAAUGUAUAAUACAGUAUAAAGAGUCAAAAUACAUCAGAUGUAGCAAGUCCUGCAAAGUGAGCUGGAUGAAGACUGGCUUUAGCAAACCCAGGCAGGAUGUAGUUAAGAUACUAGUCAAAGGAAUGGUAUAUGGUUUUUGAUGGUAUCUCUAUACAGAGCUUGAUGACAUACAAGCCACAAUCAUCUAGACAGAUAAUGAUCAAUCUAAUUGCCUAUUGGAACCCCAUUUCUAAAGUAUCAAAAGGAAUAGAAGAAUAUCAGUACCUUAUAGUUUGAGAGCUGAAGCAUGUACUGCCGCUCUUUUGAAUCCAAGAUGGCCAAGUUCUUCUGCCACUGAAGCAUCUGAGCCUCAUGCAUGGCGACUUCAUUUUCAAAUUUUGCAAGAGUUCUGCAAAUGGAAGAAAACAAAUGUCAAAUGAAGAAUCCAUGUGAACCCGUGCAUCAGGACUAACAGCCUUUCAAGUAUCCAACUAAACAGGAACUAAUGUUCCACAAAAUGAUAGCUUCAAAGAGACAAUUUUACAAACAGAUAGGAGGCAUUCUUACUUUUUAAGAUCGUUGAGCUUGGCAAUGGCCCUCCGAGUGUACUCGAGAAGGACUUUCGACUCCUUUUGCACCUUUGCCCUCUUCUCCUCCACAUCCUCCUUCCUCAGCGACAGAUCCCCCAUAGCCACCACAAAACUACAAAGAAAAAUCGUUAAAUGUCAAAAAAGAGAGUAAAAAUAAUAAAAGCAAGCCUCAACCCUGACCUAAUUUACCUGCUCAUCUCGGUGUCUCUGAUGUUGAGAAGGUUGGCGACGUUGGCGAUAACCUGAGCGGAGGCGAUCGCACUGGGGGAGAGCUGCUCCUGGGCGAGACCAACGCGCUCCAGGAUCUCCCGGAUCCGGGUUGCCUGGGCGCGGUAUUCGGAUGCCUUGAGGCGGAGGUCGGUGGCGACGAUGGUGGCGGCGCGUGUUCGGGCCUGGGAGAGAGAGGCAAAGGCGUGGAGGCGGGCGACGCUGCGCGGUGUGUACUCGAACUCCGGCACCUCCCUCCCCGCCGACUCGAACUGCGACGCCAGCCACGCCUUCACCUCCGCGAUCCGGGCCCCGUCGGAGGACCCUCCACCGCCGCCGCUCUUAGGGGCCGGAUCGGAGCUCCCGGUAGCGUCGAGGGCGGUGGCGAGGUCGCCCAUGCUCUCCAUCGGAAAGGGGGCGCGUUCACCGUCGUCCGCCGGCUGGGUCUCGGAACCCUAGGCUGUAGGCGAGACGGGGGAGGAGAGAGAGAGAGAGGAGGUAACGGAGUUUGCCGUUGGGUUCGAAGCAGAGAUGGUCUUGAAAGCCGACCGGGGAAUGAACCGGAAGCGGCUGAGCCGGUUGAUAUGUGGUCCAGUUGCGGGCCGUUCCGCUACAUGAAGUCGGCCAGAACGCCGACUUUACAUUACUUAUUUUCCUUCCCGGAUGGACCCCUCAAUUUGCUUAAGUUACAAAGUCGGCAGUUGUAAGGUGAAAACUUGAUUUUAUUUUUGUUCAAGGAUUCUCGCUUGGGGUAAAGGUUUUUUGCAUAGCAUUUUGUGCAUGGAUCAAAAGAUCAUGCAAAAUAUAUCAUCUUGGACCCAUUCUACGGCACCGACACAAGUGUCAAAGUCUUUAGGUCCAGACCUAGGCACAAUUUUUCCCUCAUGUCGAAGGACCACCUUUGGUUGCCUCAAUGCUUGAUUUGAUUAAAGAUGCGUGGGGGCAUGCAUGUUACCCAUGUCAAGGAAGGUCAAGAUGCUAUUAUUCAGAUGGCUUUUGUGUAUUUGUUUGGGGACCGUUUGCAGCUCGUUAGAGCCAAAAGCCACCAUCAAAUUAGACCAAGAGAAUGCUAUGGUCCUCCUUUCUACUUAGGCCUCGAAGAGCUAAUUAUAUUUUACAUACCACCCAUUACAAUCGCUACGUUCAUGCAACAGAUCGUGGACAUAAGUACUUAAUAAAUGGAGUUGUUGUGGUUCAAAUUUGGCUCGAUGACCAUGCCGGAGGAGUCGAGGGAGCUACCAGUAGUUGGAGGAAGAAGAUGGAGGCCACCUCCUCCACGACAGCGGCGGCAGACCUGCACAAAGUCUCACCGAUGUUUUCGGUAAGAGCCCUCCGACGAUCAAGUUAAAGUGGGGUAAAUUUGGUCCAGCCAAAAAAGUUCCUUAGAAGUUACCUGACCGGGCUAUUUAAAGUCCUGGUGGAGAGACCCAGGUAGCAGAGGCAUUGUCCGCCCUCAUCAUGAGAGGAGAGUGGCUCUAAGUCAAAUGGCGUGCAGCUAAGGCUGAUCGGUGGCGUGUGGUGCUAUCCUGAUGUAGCACAAGUGUAGGAGAAGAGGAUGAGGAAGAACAAGGAGGGAGAAAAAAGAAGAGAUUAUAAAGACACAGGAAGAAUAGAGGAGGAGAAGAGAAGGAGAGGGCAAAGAGAGAAGAGAGAAGAGAGAAGAACGUGGUGGAGAAAUUUCAAAUCACUUCAUUAAAAUCCUAAUCAUGAAGAUAGUCCCCUAUAUAUAGGGCCCAAAUAAAUACAAUUAAUAUAAGACCCCCUUCAUAGAAAUAACUCCAAAUAAGCCCAAAAAUAACACAAAUAAGCCCUACACUAAUAAAAUGCAAACAAGCCCAAAAAUAAAAAUAAAAUAAAAAUACAAAUAAGAUGGUGGACUAGACAGGAGGGAGGGAUAAUCAGUUCUGAUAUCCCCAUCAUAUCCGUUCUCGAGAACGGUAAAAUGUUGACAAACGUAGCAAGGUAUGGUCGGAGUAGUUAUGGUGCUGUCCUUUGACUGUCGAGGGCCAGCCAUCGAAGUGUGACAUAGUAGUGUUGCAAUGUAUGGCCACGUAGGAGGGCAUUGGCGCACAUAAGGGUGUGGCUAUCGGCGAGUUCGAACCCGUUGAGAGGUCAUAUCAUAUGUUUGGCAAAGUCGGCUCGGCGGGUGCUGAGGAUAGCCCAGCUUUCCGAGUUCUGAGGUGUGUUUGGCGGAGCCCCCCGAGCUUGAAGGUCGGGGCGUACUAUUGAAGUGGGCGCCCCAAGCUGGGUCAGGGCGGGUCGGCGAAUGUUGGAGACGCCCUGAACUUGGCCGGGCGAGUUGGCGGAUAUCCGAGGCUAAUGGAGUUUUUGGCGGAGUCUGAGGCCUGACUGAUUCUAGGUCGGACCGAGGAUUCAGCAGGUCGGCGUUGGCAUUUACCGGGCCAAAAUUAGGCGGCCUUUUUGGUGUGGGCUGGGCGAUCCAUUUCGCCCCCAUCAUUUGCCCCCCACUUCCGAGGUCGAGUUGCCCUUCAGCUCGGGUGAAGGAAGUAGCCGAACUAUUGAUUAUCCAAUGCUUCAAUAAAGUGCUCAAGAAGAGGUGCGUACCGAGCUGGAUAUACUUUAGUGUAUUUCAUAGCUGAGAGCUCUGAGUCAGGCUCGUCAGAUGGCCCCAAAGUCUGUCCGUCGAGCUCCACUCUGUCGAUCGGUCCACCGACAAACUGGCUCAGCAGGCCUUGGCGGACGAUCACUUCAAUCUUAUCACGGAGCUGGUAACAAUCCUCCGUGUCAUGACCGUGGUCCCUAUAGAAGUGGCAGUAUUUAUCCAAACGCUUCCAUGACUUGGACGGUCGCAUCUCCGGCGGAGAUCGGAGGUAGCCGCAACCCUCAAUUUCCGUGAGGAUCUCGGUCUGGGAGGACGUGAGAGCAGUGUACUCCUCGAAACUUCUGAGGGAGACACGCCUUUCGGACCUCCGAGGGGACAUGCUCCUCGAUCGAUAGCGCUCCUCACGGAGUUCCGUGGCCCGAUCCCAAAGCACCUGGAUUUGCCGCCCAGCUUCCUCAACUUUCCUGUUGAGUUCGAGAUUGAUGAGCUCCGACUGGAUGAAGGGUUUGAAUAACCACGGUAGGAGCUUGGACUUGUUGGGCGUGCAGAUAAAACUGCUAUGGCUAGACCUAAGAAAUUUGGUCCACCGGUGCAUGCGGUGCAGGGGGUGGACUUUGGAGGGAGCAGUCGGGCGCUAAUUCCCGGCCGCUCGACGCAUUUGGGGCUCCCCGGCUUAUUAUCCUCGUGGUCAUGACUCAGCCCUUCCUCUAGCGCUAGAAAUGUUGUUGUUCAAAUUUGGCCCAAGGGUGACCAUGCCGGAGGAGUCGAGGGAGCUGCCAGUGGUUGGAGGAAGAAGACGGGGGCCACCUCCUGCGCGAUGGCGGCGGCGGACCUACACAAAGCCUCACCAGUGUUUCUAGUGAGGGCCCUCCGACGAUCAAGUUAGAGUGGGGUAAAUUUGGUCCAGCCAAAAAAGUCCCUUGGAAGUUACUUGAUCGGGAUAUUUAUAGUCCUGAUGAAGAGGCUCAGGUGGCAGAGGCAUUGUCCGCCCUCAUCAUGAGAGGAGGGUGGCUCUAAGUCGAAUGACACCCAGUUAAGGCUGGCCGGUGGUGUGUGGUAUUGUCCGUUCUCGAGAAUGGUAAGGUGUUGACAGUCGUAGCAGGGUAUGGUCGAAGUAGUCAUAGCGUUGUCCUUUGACUGUCGAGGGUCAACCAUCGAAGUGUGGCGUGGUGGCGUUGCAAUGUACGACCACGUGGGAGGGUAUGGGUGCACACAUAGGUGCGGCUGUCGACGAGUUCGAACCCGUUGAAAGGUCAUUAUGUGUUUAGUGAGGUUAGCUCGGCGGGUGUUGAGGAUAGCCCAGCUUUCCAAGUUCCGAGGCGUGCUCGGCGAGGCGCCCUGAGCUUGAAGGUCGGGACGUACUACUGAAGUGGGUGCCCCGAGCUGGGUCGAGGCAGGUCGGCGAAUGUUGGAGAUGCCCCGAACUUGGUCGAGCGAAUCAGCGGAUAUCUGAGGCUGAUGGAGUUUUUGGCGGAGUCCGAGGCCGGGCUGAUUCUAGGCCGAACCGAAAAUUCAACAGGUCGGCGUUGGCAUUUACCGGUCCAAAAUUGGGCGGCCUUUUUGGUGUAGGCUGGGCGAUCCAUUUCGCCCCCAUCAGGGGCCUACAUAAAUAAGCGAUUAUAGUUAUAUAUAAUUUCUCAGUGUCCAUGACUCUCAUGUUUAGUUAUCUCCAUGCACGGUAGUAGGCUGAUACCUAUAUCAGCCAAUUCGACAAGGGCUUCAGGAGGUACUGAGAAUGGCUCGUUCGUGAGAGCGACCUGAAACCGUAUCGCCUAAAUUUAUUUGUGACCAUGGUCUCAGUCACAAUGAGCUGGCUUUGAUUUCACCCACGCUUCAGGCAAUGCUAUCACAUCCUUCGUUGAAUUCACCGUGAAAAAGAAGGAAAAAGGUCAGACUUGGGCCAGAGCUAUUAACAUCUUCUGGUGUUACCGUGGCAAAGCUUGGGUCAGAUUCAAAACAGUUUCGGGUUUUAGCUCGAGACUUGAUUUGUGUAUUUAAAGGAUCUGCGUUAAGAACUUAGGCUGAUGAAAAAUCUGCUUUUAUUGGAAAAACUAAAAAAUUAGAAAGUUUAUAAUUUAAUUUCAGAAUUUUUUUUUCUUUAUCUUUGCCUUUUUUAUAUAUAUAUUUUCUUGUGAUCAAACAUAUCCUUAAGGUUGGACCUGAAUUUUUUUCGCAGCCAGUCCAUGCCUAACUGGCCGGAAAUUUGAUUGAUCUUUAUAAAUUUUGUUGCAGUAUUGUUAUGCCUGUUUUGAUUGUGAUAGCUAGAAUUUGUAUUUACCGAAAACAUGAUAGGAAAGCCAACUUCCAAUGUUAGGAAGGGUCUGCUUGAAUGAUUAGACCAAAAAUUUUAUUGGAUUUAUGGAUUGGACCAAUACAACUAGCAAAACCAUAGGAUUACACACUGGGCUAAGCAUAUGUUCAUAAGUAUCCAGAAACAACUUUGGAGUUGGCCUCUCCCAAUCUCAUAAAGAGAAAAAAAAGGACUUGCUAUGGGAUUCGGGCCGGCUCACUCCAAAGUUUUUUCUGGAUACUUAUGAAUAUAGACCUAGCUUAACAUAUAAUCGUAUAAUUUUGUUGGUUACACUAACCCAAUCCAUGAACCCAAUAUAAUUUUCUGCCCCAUCAUCCAAAUAUGCUCUAAAAAUUUGUGUUGAAUAUUAGACUAUUUUUGGUAGGGAUCGUCAGUUCCUCCUAGCCUAUUCCAGUUGGAUUAUCUUUUUUACAUGAUCAAAUUGUAUAAAAUCAAACACUAAAGUCCAAGUUUGGACAUCCUAAUCCAUGGGGCAAGGUUUUGGAUCUAGGCCUAGAUACAACUCAGUUAACAUCAAUGGACAACCCAUGGUUUAUUGGUUGGGUAAUUAUGUGAGGGGUCAUGUAUGUUACAUGUGAUGAUAAAUUUAUAUAUGCUAUUAGUCAAUAUGUAUAAUGUAUAUAUUCUUAACAAGUAGUACAUGUACUUGAAUAAUUGCAGCUCUCAGCUCUCCAUCAGUUUGGGUUAUUAGUGUAUCAACUCUACGGGGAGUAUCAUUCGAUACGGGAAGGUCAAUAUAUCACAUCAAAAUAAAUGUCAACCUGCAAACGAUGAUCGUAUUUCCCCCAUUGCUUUCAUAAGUCCCAAGAUCACAUCACAAUCAAAGUCUCUCUCACGUCCAAUGCACAUGCAUAUGCAUGCAUUUGCAUGUAUGCGCAUGCAUGUAUCCACAUGCAUUCACAAAGAGACAUAUUUUUGUAGAACAGACAGGCUCGGCUCUGAAUGCUUUUAAUUAGAUAGAUGUACACUUCCAUGAUGACAUGGAUUAUUACUGGAUUUGUUAAAGUUAAAAAAACCACCAUUAAGUCUUAACCAUAGCACGCAGCCAAGGAGCCAACUAAGGUUUGUGGAGGUAUUGAGGUGACUUGUCUGCAUGAGAGCGACGGAACCAUGCUAAGAUAGUAUUUGCAUUCUGUCACUGGCGUGUCAGAUACCAGAAGUGACAAUUAUUGGACCCAACGGAUGUUUUCCACCCUCAUUUCUCCAGCUCACGUCCUUGAAACUGUGACCAAUCCCCAUUUGGGAGAUGCGGUUUAAGUUUUUGAAUGAGAAAGAGUGCAGCAAACCGCCACGGGGAAGGAGAACCAUUUUAGUUAGGUAUGAAAUUGGCUGUGCUUCAAGAAAUUAAGCCAAGUUUGUUUGUUUGUUUGUUUGUUUUUAAUGUAAAGAGAGGUAAAAAGAAGCCAUCCGAUAUUUAUUGAAGAUUAAUCAUAUUUACAACAGAGAUGAGGGGUAGAGAUGAGUUUCAUUGUUGAGGAAGAAGAGAAACAAAUGCUGGAAAUUAAGCCUAGUUUGUGAAUCUUCAUUGCAAGCUUAUGCUUGCUUGAGCCUAGAGCAACCUUACAGAAAAGCAGAAAAGUUCAGAGUUGGAUUGAGCUGUUAGAUUCUUUAAUUUGGAACAAGCUAAAGCGAGAACAAAACCCUCCCUUCCAUUAGAAGACAGGCUGCAAAUCUUGUUCAAUGAAAACAAUCAAACAUCAAGAUAUUUCGAAGAUUUUGAUUUCUACAAGAUGUAUCAAAGUGAGUAUAGAAUUCCCACAAUUUAUUUUUUUAGCCUUUUGAAAAGGAAAUGAAAUCUUCCCAUCCAUUUAUCCCACGGAGAGUUUGAAAUGAUUGGCAGAUCACAAUAUAUGGCAGAUUCAAUUCAGUGUAGAAGCAUUUUCAAAAACUCGGAAUGACUAGAUAACUUAAAGGAAGAAGCUGAAUUCAAUUCUACCCACAUUCUUUUAAUUUCAGAUAAGGUAUUUUACUAGAACAAUCUACAUCAAGCAAAUAAUUUUAUCACCAAAAAAAAAAGCAAAGAAUUUCUUAAAAAAUAUAUAAGUUCAUCAUAUUCAUCUUAACUAUGGUUGAAUUACUAAGAUACCACACACCACAAGCAUAUUUUGAAAACACAGCAUAAAAUUGCAUCUAAUUUGUAAUAAUAUCAUAGAUGCAGAGAAAUGAUUUGGAAGAUGAUUGGAGUAAAAUCCAAUAGUCUUCAUGAAUCACGUUAAGGUGUGGCUAAAAAUGUUAUAAUUCAACCCCGGCCCCACCGUUAAAAAAAGAAAAGGAGGGGAAGAGGCAUGGGCCUUCGACGUGGCAACCAUACGUUGGUCCAACUUCGUAGCCUCGUCAUCAUGGUCCCCUAAGUUAUUGAAGCAAUAAUGGAGUACACAUUAUGAUUGGUCAGGAAGGCUAUUCGCUGUUCUUGGCUCAAAUAACCAGUCUGAAGCUGUAGGCCCACCUAAGUGCAGGGCCCACUCUCGGCUGGCUUGGAUGUACCCCUCUUCCCCCCUCAUUUCCCUCCACAUCCAGCUAAUCAACCAAUGGUAAUGGCAGUCACCACUGUAGCAGAAGGCCAUCUACAAAUACCUACGACAGGUGAGGCGGAUGGUCUCAGGGUUCUCUCCUCUCUCCUCCCUCAUAGUAUUGAGAAGCAAAAAAAUAGCAAUAGCUCAAGGAGGAGAUGAGAGGGGGAGGCUUCUUCAGUGUUCUCUUCGUCUUAUUUCCUAUCCUCUUUCUCCUCUCGCUACCAUCUGCUGCGAAACCAGCAAUCUUUUCACGUGAUUUCCAUGCAACAUGGGCAGGAUCCCACAUCAAGCAACUCAACAAUGGCAUCGCAAUCCAACUCUUACUCGAUCAAUCCUCAGGUGCUCAUUUUCCUUCUCUCUGUCUCUAUUUUAGCCUCUGUCAUCUCCGAGUAGAACAGAUGGUGUGAAUAUAACUUUGCUCUGUUUGAAAAAAAGGUUGCGGGUUCGCUUCGAAUAACAAAUUCAUGUUCGGACAUGUCAGCAUGAAGAUCAAGCUCAUCCCUGGAGACUCCGCAGGAACUGUGACAGCCUUUUACGUGCGUGAUUUUUUGAUUGUUCUAUUUUUUUUUGAUACACUGUUCCUCUAUUUGGUUAGAGCUUGUUUGGGUUGGAGUAGUGUCAGAUAUUUGAUUUUCCAAGAAAGUCAGUGGGCUCCGAGUUAUAUUCAUGGCUUUUUUGCAGCUCAAUUCAGACACCGAGGCUGUUCGAGAUGAGCUCGACUUUGAGUUCUUGGGGAACAGGUCUGGGCACCCAUAUACAGUCCAGACCAACGUGUAUGCCCAUGGGAAGGGAGACAGAGAGCAGAGGGUGAACCUCUGGUUCGACCCAUCGGCAGAUUUCCACACCUACUCCAUCUUCUGGAAUCGCCAACACAUUGUGUGAGUAGCGACGCUUGUCUCCCAACCUCGUUAAAUUUGAUAUCACCUUCUAAGAUAAUGAUAUAUAUAUUCGGACCUUCUCAAGGUAAAAUCAAGUCUAAGAUAAUGAAGUUAAGUCUAUAACCUGCAUCCCUGCAUCUUGCAUCUUUCGAGCAUCCUCUGCCAAUGUCUCAUGUUCUUUUUCUGUCGUCUUUUCUUUUUCUCUCUGCACUCCUUUCAUAUUCCAUUCGCAAGUCCUUUUCAUUUAAACUAACAGCAAACGGAUCCACAAAGCCAACCUCAAUAGAUGGACACUUCUCUUUCAGAGUAUGAGAUAGUUUUGAACCUUAACGAUCACAGAAAGCUAAGCAAAUACCUUCAGAUAGGGGGAUAGGAUCCCUGUUUUAAAUUAGAGAAAGUAGAGAAUUCUAGCUGACACUGAAAAUGUUCCGGUUUAACUAAGAUUCCUGUCCAAUGGAUGAGGACACCACAGAAGCGAAAGAAAAAGAUACAAAAUACCAAUCAGAACUGGGUCUCCCUUGGCUUGACUUCAGCAGCAUUAUUGCCCAUCCCCAUGUCCCCCCGGCCAGUCUCCACUGUCGUAGUCCUAUUAAAGGCCAGCCAGCUCAGACCAGGACUUCUUUUCGUAAGGGAAACCCAAGCCCCUGACACCAGAACGUCACAAAUGGUCACGGCUUCUCUCCACCAAUAUCCUUCCAUCAGACAAGCUACGGUUCAUUGCUUGCUCACUGCAUGGACAUGAAAGCCACAAGAAUCCUUCAUACUACUAAACUUCAAAUUACUCGAAGACAAUCCCCUCUCAAAUCACGUAAAACGACAAGAAGUAAUUAAGUCGUAAAACAACACUGCUCACCAAUAAGAGAGAGGACAGGAGCUGCUUCCCACGAAAGGCACACGAGAACUAAAGUUUCUUGCUCGACUGGUGUGUCGUGAAUCCAAGGAACUAAAAUAUAUGGCAUUCUGCAACAGUUUUUUCGUAGACGCCAUUCCCAUAAGAGUAUUCAAGAACAAUCAAGCGAGGGGAGUGGCGUACCCCAAUGCCCAGCCCAUGGGAAUCUAUUCAACUCUCUGGAACGCCGACAACUGGGCAACACGAGGUGGCUUGGAGAAGAUCGACUGGAGCAAAGCUCCCUUCUACGCCUACUACAAAGACUUCAACAUCGAGGCCUGCGCCGUUCCUGGUGCUCCGAGCCAUUGCAACACCCUCAGCAACUGGUGGGACGCUCCUUCCUACCAUCAGCUCAGUCCGAUCCAGGCCAGGGCGUACCGCUGGGUCCGGCUGCACCACAUGGUCUACGAUUACUGCACCGACCGCCCCCGAAACCCUGUCCCACCGCCGGAAUGCUUCGCUGGAAUCUGAAGGAAGUAGUUGUUAAGAAAUAGUGUUAAUAGACCACCCUGUAGAACUUGUUUGAAUAAUUAUUGAACCCUGUGUACAUGCAGUCGUAAUAAUAGCAAUAAUAAUGAUGUUGUGCUCUUGGUGUUACCAUGAAGCCUUUCAGCUUUGUCUGCCAUCAAAGUAAACGAGACAAAACCUUUAACUGCAUUAAAUACAGCAGAGACGCCUGUAAGUCUUCUAACCAUGCUCGCCCUCAAUUAUUUAUGAGAGGUGGACCAGGCUUCUGAAUAAUUCUGAGGAACGCAAGAGUAAGGAUUUAAGAAGAGAUGGGUUGCAAUGUUGCAUAGGUACAAGGGGUGGGCAUCAUAAAAAUUUCAUGACAUGGUAUUAUUAGCAUCAUAGGUACAAGCAGUAGAUAUAUUUUGGAACUCUUCAGUGUUUAUCUGAUAUUUUACUGUCUGUGGUACAAAAGUUUGUGGAUGGCAUCCCCUUCAGGCACUUACAAAAGCUAAAAACUAUAGCAUCUCCUAGAAAAAUCUCAAGCCUUGAGAUUAGUAAUUUCAAAGAAAAUGGUAGAUUGUGAUUUUCAAGUUAAAGUCUCGAGUCUUCAAGUCAGUAGUAGUUUGAUGGAGAUUUUUUAGUUGUUUACCCAAAAGUACAUGAUUUCCACUCCAGGUCACCUAGAAUGCAUAUCAAAGAGAGCAGUGCAGCGCAACUCGAAGCCAAUAAUAGAACAUUCUGAGCAGCUAAUUAAGUUUGAUUCUUAUCCCAACACCAAAAGGGUGAUAUAAGUGCAUGGUCUUGGAUUGAAACAGCAUAUAGAAAGUUGCAAAAUGCAUCAGACCUUGCCAGUUUUAAAGAGGUUGAAACCAAAUCUUAUCAAUAUACACAAAAAAGCAUGCCGGCCCCCUCGGCAAUAGCUGUUAACACUUGCAGAGCAUCCAGGAACAGUAAUGAGCAGUAAAAAGGAAGCUAAUAGGCUUGGCAUAAAUUUGGAUGGAUUAGAGAGAGAUCCAAGAUGAAUCCAAUUAUUGUUUGGGAAUGAGAAAUUCGUGCUAGUAUAGGCCUUGGGUGAAUGUUUGGUGCGUGGGACCGAGACCAACCAGGACUGCCCAAAUUUCUCUCCUUUUGUGUUUUCCUAUGAGCCAUGGAAAAAGAUUGGGACCACGACAUGCAAGUUCUUACAUAAUAAUAAUAAUCGAUAACAAAUUGCUUUAUGUACUUUUGUUUAUUGCUGUAGUACCAAUAACGUGCUAUACAUAUGUAUAGCAUGUUUGUUCGCUGUCUAUCCAUCCAUCCAUCCAUCUAUAUAUAUAUCAUGCACAUACAAACAGAUCUAUGUGUAUGUACAUACAUAUUAAGUAGCUGUACGAUUCCAUGGUGCCAGUAAUUUCUUGAUGAUGAUUUUGGGCUAAUAAUUUGCUUUAUCAUCUAGCACUUUCUUUUCUUUUAUUACAUGAUUUAAUAUCAUCAUUUUUUGAUGACUUCUUCCUACUAGUUCCUAGUGAAAGUUGCCCAUGCAAAGAAUUUUUAAGCCUUCACCACACAUUCUAUCUGAAUUACCAUUUCUUCCCCUCCACUUUCAUAAUGCAUCGAUAUAAUUCUGAAAUGUUACCUUUGAAAGGGUCUCCUUGGAAUUUCACAAAACCUUUCCUAAGAAUACUACUAUCCACCUCAUUCUUCUCCACACAAAACUACUCCCUCCAUCACUCAUUAUCUAGCUUCCUUUUUAAUUGUUGCUAAGCAAUUGAAAGCAAGCAAAGAUUGAGAGUCGAACAUUCUUUUAAGUAGCUAGGAAUAAGUUACAUUUUGAAUUUUUUGCUAAAUUAUAGUGUGUCCACAAAAAGGGGAAAGAAGCAGAUCUGCUGGUCAAAUUGCUGCAUAACAUGAUCAAAACAAUUAUUAGUGAUAAUGUUUAGCGUUCGUAUUAUUAUAUUGUUAAGAACUUAUUAAAACAAAAUGCAAAGAUCACCUCUCACAAUUAUCACCAUCUGCUCUAGAGGGGAGGGGGAACAAUCAUCAGCUUCGACAUCUGACUUGCGGCAAGCCGAGAUCAGAGUGUUCUCGGCAUAACAUUAUGCUAAUAGAUGUCUUGUUCUCAGCCAUGAUGUUUAUGAUACCAAAGUUAUGGGCACUUGAAGAAAUUAUAGAAACAAUCCCGGUGAAUUAUAACACCAACUAGGUCGGAACCCUGAAAAGAUAUAACUUUGCAGCGCCUACAGCACCAAGAAGAUAGUCAUUAGCAUCAGCAAACACCACUUGGUCUACUUGCAGAUUAAUAUCUUUGCAGCAUUUUCUUUACUUCCUUUGGUCCCCCAACCUAUAAAUCCAUAACACUUUGUGAUGUGAUCUGCCUAGCUUGAUCUCUUCAAUGAUUGACUUACCAGUGAUUAUGGUUUUUGAAUUAGAAUUGUUGAGGUUGAAAUCUGGCCUGGGGGUGACCACGCUAGAAGAAGCCAAGGAGACACCAGCCGGGACAGUCACCUCCUACGCUCUAAGGUACCUGCACAAAGGUUUGGCCGAGGAUUCCAGUGAAUGCCCUCCGAUGGCUAAGCUAGCCGAGCUUUUGGAGAAGUAUCUGAGUGCCUUGGAUAGCCUCUUGUAGCUUAAAAUAGCUUAUAAUGGCUUUGACUCAUUAAGUCCACAAACUAUGACGACCACAGUUGAUCAUAGUACCAAGAAUUUUUUUAUAUUAAAAAAACAUUAAACUACAAUUGAUUUAUGCAGGAGAAUCGAUUAACUUCUUGGAUUUGCUUUAGUUAGCAAAGAAUAACCUUAUUGAAGAUGUAUGUAAUCGUGUAUUAAGAAAACCAAGGCUAAAAUUUGCUGAUAAUUUGCAACCAAAGCCAUGAGCACGAGCCCUCGUCCGAACUCUUUGGUGUUGGACUCAUUUAUCUCUGUUCACUAAUUAUUUCAAUUAGGGCUGCCUCCAAUGUUGUUUCCAAUUUCCCCAAAUCCUUUCCUGCCACUUUCAACCAUGUUAAUUGAUGCCCUCCACAGCUCCACUCCUCUUUCACCGAUCCUUACCUUACAUUAGAAUUGCCUUCAUCAGUAGAACUCUUAUUCCACAUAUAGCUAUGAGAUGUACCCCAAAUUGGUGUUUUAUUAACUGUCAGUAUAUUUGUUUCUUACGUGCCGUUCAUGCAGCAUAUUCAUUCAAUUCUUGCAAUUAUUUGAAAGCAUCCCUGCAUAAACUGCUAUUCCUAGUAAAACAAAUAAUUAAAGAAAGAUCUACGAUCACAAAUUACACACACACACACACACACUAUAUUUAUAUGUAUACAUAUGUGUAUACAUACAUACAUACAUACGUACAUACAUACAUAUGUGUGUGUGUAUAUAUAUAUAUCUAUAUAUGUAUAUAUAUGUGUGUGUGUGUGUGUGUGUAUAUAUAUAUAUAUAUAUGUAUACAUAUGUGUGUGUGUGUGUGUGUAUAUAUAUAAUUCAGAAUAGUGAGAUAUGUGAUCUUUAUUUAUAAAUUUGUACAGGGUGAGCUUUCUUUCCAAAAACAAAUGGUUCUCACAGGAUAUAAGGGAGGUGUAUCUGAGCAUGAGAGCCCUAAGAAAAAGGCAAUUAAAUGUUUAAUGUAGAAACAAGCAUGUCAAUCGCGAUCAUUCAAAUUGCUAACCAACAGAAAGGACCAAAACAUUGUCGUGAUACCAAAAUAGUUACCCUGGCAUGUGAAUAUCGGAAAGACAGGUCCAGUAGCCAAAAUAUGCUAAAAAAAGAAAAUUCUAACUAAUGUGGGAUGUUCCAUUUAAGCAAUCAAAUAGAUGUUGCAGUCAAACAAAGGAUCUAAUGUUAGAUGAUGAUGAUGUUGAUGUAAGCAUACUGAAGCUAACUGUACAGAUAUCAUAAAUCAGGAUAGUUAAUAAACCAAACUUUAGAGCAGGGAAACAUGGGUCCUCCUCCUCCUCCUCCUCUUGAGGACUAAAAAACAUGGGUUCUUCUCCUUAAAGAAACAAAGAUGCAGGUUUAUUAUCACAUUGAUUUACAUGGUAACCUUGGAGUAGUUUUGCACUUCCACAUCCACAGAAACUCGUUUUGUGUGAAGUGGGAAUUAUUAUUGUUGCCGGAAAUUGGACCCGGGGGCGACCACAGGCUGAGGAGGAGGAGCUCUGGCGAGUGGCGCAUCGGCGGGCUGCAUCCUCCGAGGAUCCUGCAAGAAGCCGGUGGCCGGGGUUUCCGGCGACGGCCCUUUGAUGCUUAAGUCGGAGGGGAGCUUUUGUGGAGAAAAAGAGAGAGAGAGAUUGCAUGCCGGAGUCAGAGUCCCAGAAUCUCCUUCAAGAGGAAGAAGUUCCACUUCUAUAGAAAGGAUACAGGGUUACCUGUGAUGUGACUGAGGCGAAUUAAUGAGUUACCGUCAUGAUUGGGCGUGAUCGUAUGAAUUAAUGAGUUGCCAUGGGUGACUGGACGAAGUGGUGUGAGUCAACUAGUUGCCUUGGAUGGCCGGAGAUUUUGAGUAAGCUUGGGGUCCAAACCCCUACCCAAGCCCGGCCCUAAUUUUUUUCCGGGCUUCGGGCCGGGCCGGGGCCCGAAAAAUUUUUAAGGAACAAGGCCCGAGCCCGGCCCGAGCCCGGCCCGAGCCCAUUUNNNNNNNNNNNNNNNNNNNNNNNUUUGAGUAACAUAGGGAAGCCAGGACCUCAAACA
rnacentral:lncRNA from 1 species